rnacentral:lncRNA from 1 species
CACCUGAAACACCAAGGUCAUAUCCAAAGAGAGAGCCACCAAGAGCUCCAACAAUGCAGGAAAAGAUGAAGUACCCAGUUAUUUUGUACUCAUAAAGAUGAGCCCUUUUUUGAGAUGCUGCAUCAACAAAUGCUCCCCCUGCCAUGUUGCUGCACUUAUUCUUUUGUCUCCCUUAUUAUUUUGUAUUAGCCAGUUUGGAGAGACAAGAGAAUAGUGGUAAUGAUACCCCUUUGCAAAUGGUUUAUAUAGACUCAACAAUUCAACGAUGGCACUCAUCACAGUUAACAACAUAUCCACUUUUAACCAAAAACACCCUAAAAAACUAAUGGUAAAAAAGAGAUAAAAUGAGGAAACGAUUGGUUAUUAUUUUAGCAUGAAAAGCUUUACUGUCGAGUUAUAUAUAUCCCUAUUUGGUAGGAAAAAGGGAAGACCGAGUGUGAUCACAAAUUGUGUAAAUGGAGUGAAGAGGAUGAUAAUUUCAAUGAAUAAAAAUAGCCAUCAACAAAUUUCUUCCACCAUUCAAAUACAAAGACACAACUUGUCAUGUUGAUGUUAACAACCAUUGACACAUGAAACUUUCCCUAUUUGGCAGCAUUCUUAUCCAAAUAAGCUCUAGUUAACAUGUUUGUAGUGGAGAAUUAAUGUUAAAAUAUAAUUUUAACACAAACUUAAUAUACAAUUGUGAUUAUCCAAUACUGAAAUACCGAACCAUCAACAUUCUUGCUUAUAAAAAAAACGAACCAUCAACAUUGAACUUAACACAAUUGUCUUCAAAAGUUAUGUCACCCUUUCUCAAUGUUCAAUCUUCUUUUAACCAACUACCUAACUAGAUUCACCUUAAAACUAUUAGUUGACAAGUCAUGAAUCAUUAUCCAUUAGAUUUUCAUAGAAAAUAAAUUUACUCACUUACAUAUCAUGAUUCUAAAAAAAAAGUCAUUCCUCCACAAAUAAUUUCAGCAAAAAACUUCGAUCAACAUGGAUUCUGAUACGAAAGUCUAGCCCCCCUUCGAGUUACUCCAUACUCAGAUCAUUUUUUUUUGUGGGGUGGGGGGUGUUUGUCCCAUUUCAAUAGUAUGUUUGUAAAACACAUAAUUAUGGUGGAAAUUAAUUAACACAAUUUUGAAUUAAAAAAAAUACAAGAGUAUCUCUUCAUCACUUACCCACUUUUUUUUUUCAGAUACAAUUAUGGUAGAAUGAGAAUAUUAGGCUAGUAUUCUAUAAGGCCCAGGAGAACUAAUAAUUAGAUUAUUAUCUUAUUUCAUUUUAAAGUAUGCUAAGAGAUAGGGCCCAACCCAUUUGACUCUUAGUUAUGGGUGUUAGUAUAAAUAUGUAAUUCCUUUCAUGAAUGAUAACAAGAAAGUUGGUAAAAGUUUCAUUUUACUUUUUUUCUCAUAAUUUUCUUGCUUAGUUUUUGCUUGUUAGAGUUUCUUUCUACCACAUUCACACUAUUUAUAACUUUUUUUUUUCAUAUUAUAUCAUAUUUCACUUUAAUUAUUUAAUUCUAUUCUUUUUUAUUUCUCAUCUAUCUUAUUUAAAGUGUUUGAUGUCAACCUGGGCGACCGUCCCUGAGAGGCAAAUUUCUAUGAUAAAAUAAUAUUCAAAAUGUUGUUUUUUCCCAUUAAAACUUCAUAUCUCUUUUAAUUUAAGACUUUAAUUUUGUUUAACUAGUUGAAUUACCUGUGCAAUGCACGGGUGACUUUUGUUAUAUCUAAAAUUUAUUUAAUACUAUAGUUUUUAACUUUUUACAAUUUUUAAUUGCAUAAAUAUAUAAAUAUUUGUUAGAUUUUUGUGUGUGUUAAAAUGCUCUCACAAUUUUAAGUCGAGUGUAGUGGAGAUCAAAAGUCUAUUUAAAAGUAUGACUCUUAAUGAUUGAACUUUCCAUCUAUACGUUCAAACAACCACCCGAUUAGAAUAAAUUUUCGCCCCUUAUUCAUUUCUAGUUUCGUCCCUAAUUGACAUUGAGUGGUUGCAAUUAAAAAUACAUGCAAACUUAAGCCAUAAAAAUGGAAUAAUGUAAGAGUGUAACACUUUUUUUUUUUGCCUUAUGGUGGUGAUGCAUUCAUUCAUCCCGACAAUGUGUUACCAAUUUCUCUCACUCAAUCCGAUUACCCUCGAAUCAUUCUGUCUCAUCAUAGGCGUAUUUCUUUGCAAAAUUGUGCUCAAUUUCAUAAUAAUGUAAGAGUGUAACACUUUUUUUUUUUGCCUUAUGGUGGUGAUGCAUUCAUUCAUCCCGACAAUGUGUUACCAAUUUCUCUCACUCAAUCCGAUUACCCUCGAAUCAUUCUGUCUCAUCAUAGGCGUAUUUCUUUGCAAAAUUGUGCUCAAUUUCAUAUGUGGCAAUUCCGCCAAGAUUUUAGUAUUGCCAAUACAAUCUUGUCCAGUAACCCGCUAGAACAAUGAAGCUAGUGUCCUCAUGAAUCCGUGGAACCCAAUAUAAGAUCCCGUUUGAGGAUCAUCGGCAUUAUGAGUGGAUGUAUCAUUCUGGUUGAAAGCCGCCCAUCCAUUAAUUUCAAUAAAAUAGGUGUUUGUUUAAAAAAAUUCAUAAUUUUUUUUAUAAAAAGACAAUUCUUUAUUCUGGAAAUAGUGAAGAAAAGAUGAAGAUAAUGAUGAAUAUGGUUGUAGGAGGAGGAAGAGUGGUGGUUGAAGGUGGAGGGAUCAGAACUACAACAAACCAAACCUUAUUUAAUUAAAAAAUUAGUAUUUUUUAAUUAAAAUAUUAUUAAGAAAUGCCACGUCAGUUUUCCGUUAAAUUUUGGAUGGAAUCUAGACGGAAAACUAAAGUUACAAACGGAGGUAUUCGUCAGGGAUGCUUUAUGCAAUUAAUUAUUUAAUUUUUGUGGGGGACUGGAAUCAUGAAAAAGGUAUAAGUGGGGGGACUAAAUGUGCAAUUAAGCCUUUAUUUUAAUAUGAAGAUAAGAGUCUCUAAAUCCAGGUUUGGGAAUAUGAAGUUACCUUUUCUCACUCUCACUCACUGUCUUCUUCCUUUUAUUACCCUAUUACCAGUGUUUGCUUGUGUUGUAUUCUAUUCGAUUCGAUUCUUGUGCUUCUGCUCGUUCUCCUCAUCCACAACAAAACCAAACCAAACCAACACCUUCUUCACUCCCACCACCGAUUUCCCUCACACAAACACCGCCACAAUCACCAGAGGACGACGACGGUGCAAGAGAGUGAGAGUGUUUGAUUGAUUCCAAUCCAUAUCCAUGGCUUGUUCAAUUCGACCCACUCUCACUUCCUUUAGGUUUUCUUCAACUCGCUCCCUCUUCAACCCCUCUCCCUCACUCUCUUUCCUCCAUCUAUCCUCUGGUAACUCCUCUUAUUAUCCUUAUCUUCAAUUUCUCAAUAAUUCUUGGUUAAUAUAUCUAUUUUAAUGCUGAUAACUCAACAAUACUGCAUAAUUUUGAUGAUUUCAAUUUGUUUUGUUAUCCAGCAGUUCCACAAUCUCAUAGUUUUGGCCUGAAAGCAACCAGGCUGGUGAGACAAGAUGGAAACUCAGUGAGAGCCAUGGCGUCGCAGUCGGUUGCGGCGGCUGCUUCGCAAGAGAAUGUGCUGGAUUGGGUCAAACAGGACAAGCGGAGGAUGCUUCAUGUUGUGUACAGAGUUGGGGACCUGGACAGGACUAUAAAGUAGUACACCAUUGAUUCAAAUUCAAAUUCAUUGAAAAAACAAACUAGUAGCUUUUUGUGGAGUGUGUAUUUUUUACUCUUGGUGGUUUCAGAUUUUAUACAGAAUGCUUGGGAAUGAAGUUACUAAGGAAGCGUGACAUACCGGAGGAAAGAUAUACUAAUGCCUUUCUCGGAUACGGGCCUGAGGACUCUCAUUUUGUUGUUGAACUUACAUACAGUAAGGCUCUCACUAUGUGCCUGUUUGGAUACAAUUACAAACUUAUUGGAGCUUAUCUACUUGAAAAACACACUAGAUAAGCUCCAACAAGUGCUAUUUAGUUUGCAUCCAAACGGAUUCUAUGUACAUUAUGAAGUAAGUUAUAUACAUGCUAGUGCACAGAAAGCUUUCGAUUAAUGUUCAUCUUUCAUUUAACAACAUUACAGACUAUGGAGUUGACAAGUAUGAUAUUGGAGCUGGAUUUGGUCAUUUUGGUAUUGCUGUUGAUGAUGUAAGUUUUUUCUCCAAACAUUAGUACCUAUUACUAUGACACUAUCCUUUAUUAGCUUCUUUGAACUCUCAUACCGUGGUCAUUCCAAUCUCAUGUGACUUGUCCAGUUGUAUAUUCAUUAUUCUCUUUGGGAGGGUUGUGGGGUGGAGGUGCUGUUUUGCUUAUUGCUUAUUCUCUAUUGGUCGUUUGACAAACAUGUAUGCUGGAAUUUUUUUGUCUAUAUGAUCCUUUUUAGAUUGCAAAAACAGUGGAGCUAAUAAGAGCCAAGGGUGGCAAAAUAACUAGAGAGCCUGGUCCUGUUAAGGGAGGCAAAACAGUGAUUGCAUUUAUUGAAGACCCUGAUGGUUACAAAUUCGAACUUUUGGAAAGAGGCCCUACUCCUGAGCCAUUGUGCCAAGUAAUGCUUCGAGUCGGAGAUCUUAACCGUUCCAUAGAAUUUUAUGAGAAGGUGAGGGUCAAUGCUAUUUUGUGUUGUUCCAACUUCAAAGUUUUUCCCUUCACACAACAUCUAAACAUUUAUGGUUGUUUACCAUUUAGGCUUUUGGGAUGGAGCUGCUUCGCACACGAGAUAAUCCAGAGUACAAGGUAUGGUGACUUCUCUUAUGUUCUUUACUUUUUGUCUGAAAUAUUUGUAAUUAACAUGCCUACUACUCAAUGGUUAAGAUGAGUUAAAUUCAGGUUUAUAAGAGAUUGUGUAAUUUUGAUGCCUACACUUUCUUUCUGAUGCAAAUCCUGGUACAAUUAAGCUUUAGGAUAGGAGGUUGGAUCCUUUUCUAAUCAAUCCUCUAAGAUUUGAUGAUACUUUGCAUGGAUUGGGCUAUACUGCGAUGUAUACUUGUUUUGAAUAUAUGCAUGCUGGAUUUCUUUAUCAGUUUUAGGUCCCAUCUUGCUUGUUUUGAUGGACCAAAACUGUUUCCCAGCACCUUAUUUGAUACUUUAGGCACGUGCUUACUACCUUAAUUUCACUGAUGAUCCUCUGAUGACCUUUUUCUUGGGCAGUAUACUAUAGCAAUGCUCGGUUAUGGUCCUGAAGAUAAAAGUACUGUUCUAGAGUUGACUUACAAUUAUGGAGUCACUGAAUACGAUAAAGGAAAUGCUUAUGCUCAGGUAAGCAGAAGUUCCUCUCUUCUCCAAUUCUUCAAUUUUAUGGAGUCUGCUGAAGAGGUUUUCAUUGCUGCAUUUUUUAUAUCAUAUUUUAUUUUCUGUAUUAAUGGAGAGUGGAGACUGCUGUAGUUCUCAUUUUCUAUUGAAAUUUUUUACUCUAUUUUUAUGUCCACAGUUCCAUGCCUCUCUAUUUGGAACAUAAUUUCAUUAAUUAUCUUUUCUUCCACCUUUUACAGAUUGCAAUUGGCACAGAUGAUGUGUACAAAACUGCGGAAGCAAUUAAACUAGCCGGGGGGAAGAUUACUCGGGAACCUGGACCAUUACCUGGUAUCAGCACAAAAAUUACUGCAUGCUUGGAUCCUGAUGGUUGGAAGUCGGUAUGUCUCUUUCAACUUUAUAUUUAAUGUGUCAAAGACCAAUCUUCCAAAAGUUUAAGCUAGAUAUCGAAGGCUCGGGAAUAUCUAAGACAUUACUGCAUGCAAGAGCUUGUUGGGUUUAAAGCUUAGUUUAUGCAUAACUCAUUUUCGUUGUGUUAAAUUCAACUUUUAUAUAAAAGAAUGGGGAUGACAGAGAUCAAAUUAUUAAUCACUUGGCAAUAGAGGCUUUGAUACCAUAUUCUGUAAAAUCAGGACUGAAUUAAAUUGAUUUCAUUGCAAUAGUACUGAAUAAUAAUAUAUUAUACGAAAUAUAGUAUCACAGGAGAGGAAAUGAAGUAUCUCUAUUCUAUCCUAGAAUCCCUCAAUUCAUGGGAUCUUUCCUAAUCACAAUAAUCUGUACAGAUUACAGAUCAUUACACAAAUUUCCUGAAAUGUUUUUUCCUAAAAAUAUUACACAGUUCUCACACGCUCCCUUUUGCUGGUGAAUAGGUGUUUUCUAUUCCCAGAUUGGAUACAAUCUUCACAAAAUUAAGUUUCAACUUACAUGUGCAUCAAAUGGCUCUUGUGCAAAGUUGUGUUAGAUAUUAAAUCAUUUACCCAAUAAAUUAAGCUUUAGGAAUAGUUAUUUCAUGACAGGUACCAUGUACAGGAGCAAAUAUGCCAAAAGUUCACUAAUGAUUUUAUAUAUAACUCCUUGAAGAUCAUAGUUUUCUUUCAUCAUUUUGACAUGAAAAGCUUAUUAUGGUACCAUAUAAUGGUAUUCACACUAAUUAAAGUAGUAAUACUUUUAAGAUGGGAAAAAAUAUCACGGUAUCAAUAUUGGUAUUGUGUACUGUUGUCCAACCACUCAGUCACUGAGUCAAAAUUCAUCCAGGAUGAUCACCUAAAUUUUUGCAAGUGAUCAUACUUUCAAUUCAAAUUUCAGUCUCUUAACAGUUUAUUAUCUGGGAAGGGGGUAUAAACAAGCCUAGAUAAAAUGAUAAAUUGAUUAUUUUCAUAUUAAGGCCUGCAUUUUUCAUCAUUUGUUUAUUUCUUAUUUAGUACUUUCAUUUGUAUGUUGUAGAGUCUUCACAUUGUUAUUCAUUUUUACUAGUAAUCCUGCUUUUGUGACUAACUAGUUUUUCCCACCUCUAAUGCGCAGGUUUUUGUAGAUAAUGUUGAUUUUGUUAAGGAGUUGGAGUAGAGUAUUUAGGUAGAUCAUCAUAGCAAUCUUGUGAGAUUGACACCUCUGUGGCUAAGAAUUGGUGUUUGAAGAAAAAUGUUUUGCAUUAGAGAAUGUAUCAUCAUAUUCAAGUUCGAUUUUGUAGAUAAUGUAAUAAUGAUUGUAGCAAUGACUCUUGUAGCAAAUGUCUUUAACUAUAUACCAUGAAGCAAGCUUGAGAAACACAUCUUUUAUACCCUUCGUGAGUUCCUCAGGAGGACAAACUUUUGUGGUUGCUCACUCUGAAUGUUUCAGGAGCGUAUCACAGUUACCUAUUGAAAAAUGAAAAUAAUGUUUUUUAAUAGAAAUCACAUGAUCCUUUCUUUCUUCCGAAAUGUUUCGUGAUAAUUCUUAAGUGAGUAACUUCGUAUGGCUUGAAGUUUUUCUGUGACAAAUUGACAAUGUCCUCGUGAGAUGCUUGAAUAAUCAAUCAGGAUGUGAUUGGCAUAUUGACAAUAAAAAGGAGGGGAUUGAUAUGGAGGAUAGUGGUGAAAGUUGAAAGAAUAACUUGGAUCUGCAACCCUGUUUUUCAACUAAUAAGUUUGUCUUCCCUAAAAUUCCCACCCGACGUUAUUUGCAGUCUGCCCGCCUCAUGCUUAAAAGAUAAAUUGUCCAAAAUAGUUACUUCUCCCGGGUUAACAACCGCUCCUUAUACCGGAUAUUUCACGCCCUCCAAAUCCACCAAACAAGUGAAAAAUUCCUUACACGCUCCGGAUCCAAUCAAACUAUAAACCAGGUUCGUCACAUUUUCUAAAAUGGGUUAAUCUUUUUUAAGAUGACACCCUAUACCUUAAGAGCUCCUUUAGUACGCCGUAUUAGGUAUGAUAGUAUAAACUUAUACAAUACAUUAUGGAUUUAUCCAUUGUUUGGUGCUCACAUUGUAUUGUAUAAGCUUAUACAUCAAUCUCCUCUUAUACAUUAAAAUGAUGGAUUAUUUAAUCCACUCUAUAAAUGAUGGAUAAGACAUGAUAAAAAAACAAUGUAUAAACUACUCAAUAUAUUUUAAUCAACCGCCACCACAAUCACCCUCCANNNNNNNNNNNNNNNNNNNNNNNNNNNNNNNNNNNNNNNNNNNNNNNNNNNNNNNNNNNNNNNNNNNNNNNNNNNNNNNNNNNNNNNNNNNNNNNNNNNNNNNNNNNNNNNNNNNNNNNNNNNNNNNNNNNNNNNNNNNNNNNNNNNNNNNNNNNNNNNNNNNNNNNNNNNNNNNNNNNNNNNNNNNNNNNNNNNNNNNNNNNNNNNNNNNNNNNNNNNNNNNNNNNNNNNNNNNNNNNNNNNNNNNNNNNNNNNNNNNNNNNNNNNNNNNNNNNNNNNNNNNNNNNNNNNNNNNNNNNNNNNNNNNNNNNNNNNNNNNNNNNNNNNNNNNNNNNNNNNNNNNNNNNNNNNNNNNNNNNNNNNNNNNNNNNNNNNNNNNNNNNNNNNNNNNNNNNNNNNNNNNNNNNNNNNNNNNNNNNNNNNNNNNNNNNNNNNNNNNNNNNNNNNNNNNNNNNNNNNNNNNNNNNNNNNNNNNNNNNNNNNNNNNNNNNNNNNNNNNNNNNNNNNNNNNNNNNNNNNNNNNNNNNNNNNNNNNNNNNNNNNNNNNNNNNNNNNNNNNNNNNNNNNNNNNNNNNNNNNNNNNNNNNNNNNNNNNNNNNNNNNNNNNNNNNNNNNNNNNNNNNNNNNNNNNNNNNNNNNNNNNNNNNNNNNNNNNNNNNNNNNNNNNNNNNNNNNNNNNNNNNNNNNNNNNNNNNNNNNNNNNNNNNNNNNNNNNNNNNNNNNNNNNNNNNNNNNNNNNNNNNNNNNNNNNNNNNNNNNNNNNNNNNNNNNNNNNNNNNNNNNNNNNNNNNNNNNNNNNNNNNNNNNNNNNNNNNNNNNNNNNNNNNNNNNNNNNNNNNNNNNNNNNNNNNNNNNNNNNNNNNNNNNNNNNNNNNNNNNNNNNNNNNNNNNNNNNNNNNNNNNNNNNNNNNNNNNNNNNNNNNNNNNNNNNNNNNNNNNNNNNNNNNNNNNNNNNNNNNNNNNNNNNNNNNNNNNNNNNNNNNNNNNNNNNNNNNNNNNNCACUACCACCACCACUGCCACCGCCACCACCAUCCACCAUCAUUGCCACCAUCAUCACCUUCCAAUUCCACCACUACCACACCACCUAUGUCGCCACCAAAUUAUACAGUGUAUGAUCAAACGCUAUAUAGUAUUAAAAUUUUAUCAGACCUUAUCAUAUCAGGCCUCAUACAAUCAGACCUUAUACUAUUAGGCCUUAUACUAUAAAGUGUACCAAACAUGCCCUAAAAUAAGUUUAUAUUCAUCAUUAAAUUUGUAAAAUAGGUAAAUUAGAAAUUUAAAAUCCUUAUUUUGUAAAGGCAAUAUUUCUUAGAAGAUAAUAUUAUGAAAGUAAAUAAAACAAGAAAUAAGUAAACCAAUGUUUGCAGAACCGGUCGAGGUAUUGGUUUAAGGUUUAAAAGUUCAACCGCGGUUAAACCGUACCUAAUUAAAUAACUAUAUUUUACCACUUUAAAGUGUUACUAAAUUCACCUAAACAUUUUUUUAUAUACAUAAUAACAAACUAGUUUCAUUUUAAUAUAAUUGAGUGAUGAUGGGCUUGAUGGGCAGCCCAGAACAUAUUAAACCCUAAUAUUACCACCUUCAGGCACUUUACCUAAGAAAAUAUUAAUAACGCAGCAAACGUGAAAAAUAAAAGAAGAGGAGCAGUCUUGCAAGGUGAAACCCACCUCCCACUCUUCAUCUCCUUCUUGCAUACGAGCCGAACCGGCGACACCAGCGGCAAGUGAGUAGUAACUAUAGACUGCGAGGAGGUGGUGGCGGCACCAGCACAACGUCCGUUUUGCCCCGGCGAUUGACCCUUGAGGGUUUGAGUUCAGAGUCUUCAAUCAAUGGGAAAGGGUGGUGAUGAUGACGAAACCCAGAAGCACAACAACAACAACAAAAAGCGCAAACUAGUUUUCCCUUACGGCAACUACAAGACUUACUACGGCUAUCGAGUAUGUAUUCAAUCUUCUUCCCAAUGAGCUAGUGUUUUGCUGUGUGAUUGAUGUUUUAUCAAUUUGAUUAUGUUUCAGCUUGCUCAAGGCAUGGAUGAAGAUCCUCGCUUGAAAGUGUUGAGGAAAGAGUGGUUUCAAGGCAAAGACUGUCUUGAUAUUGGCUGCAACAAUGGGUUAAUCACCAUCCAGAUUGCUCACAAGUUUCACUGCCGGACCAUUCUUGGAAUUGACAUUGACUCUGAUCGAGUUCAGGAUGCAUAUUGGAAUCUGAGAAAAACAGCUAGAUCCAAAUCUGCCCCUGCGAAAGCCUCCAAACUUGAGGACAAGGACCAUUCAGAGAACAAUGUUGCGGUGGUGUCUAAUGCCGAUACAGAUGAGACUUCAAAAGAACCAUCUUCUUCGGAGCAAAUUGAUCUGAUGGAUAUAGUUUCAUUUAAACGAGAGAAUUUUGUUCAGAGUUGGCACCCACCCGGAAAGCACUAUGAUACAAUUCUUUGGUAACUUGUUGUUGGUUUGUUUUAACUAAAUAAAACUUUGUAAGGGAGGAAGGUAGAAAUUUGCCAGUCCCUGUGUCUUUUAGGAUGCUAACAGUCCUGUUUAAAAUUGUGUCUUUGAAAUUUCUUUUUGAGGUCCUUUCCAGCCUUUUUUUGGGUUGACUUCUACAUGAUAGUUACUAUCUGAAUGGAUUACCUUCAUGUUAUAGUUUUGUAUGUUUUGGUGCCCAGAAUUAUAUAAAUUUGCCCUCUCCAGCUUGAGUGCACUUGCCUUCAUAUUUGCCAAGCCUUUGCUUCAUUUUCAUUUAUUUGCUUGACAUGUCCUCUCUGCUAUGGAAUUCAUAUUAUUUGAAUUUGAUUAUUUAAAUUAAUAUCCAAUGCAUCUGUGAGAAAAUAAAUUACCUUUUGACAUGCAGUUUGAGUGUCUCAAAAUGGAUACAUCUAAAUUGGGGGGAUGACGGUUUAAUUACAUUAUUUUCAGAGACUUGGAAGCUGCUCAAACCUGUAAGUAUCAUCUCCUUCCAUCUACUCUUUGAAGUUUUAAUUGCUUAUAUAAAAAGUGUUGUUGGACAAAGAAAAAGGCAUGAUAUAUGGGACCUAUCUAGCUAUAGGAAGUGGUUUAUAUGGUGAAUUAAGAAUUAGACUAAAAUUCAUGGCCGCAUAUGUUCUAUUCUAAACAGCCCACAACCAUCGCCUUCUAUUCUAUUUAUCUCGGUAAUCAUGGAUGCUUUCUUCUGCACUCUUUCUCAAGGCCCCAUGUCUCCACUCUAUUCCAAUGCCUUUUUUCUGUUCUUCUAUCUGUUCCGGCUAUGAUUCAUUUCUUAACUUGACUGAUUAGUAGUGCACAUGUUCUCUGGUAAACCACGCACGAACAUCCCUACAUUUCUUUAAAUCUAUUAUGUUGUAUAUGUAAAACCUUUUAUCUUCUGAGCAGGGUGGCAUUUUUGUGUUGGAACCUCAGCCAUGGAAUUCAUAUGUAAGCAAUCGUGAUGUCUCUGAGGUAACAAUUAGCUUGCCUUUUGUGACUAUCAAUCUUAUAUUUCAAAGAGUUCUGAGAAGGGGAAACCUAGCUAACUUAUUAAAUUUACUCUAGAAAUUUCUUGGAAAUCUAUGCUGUUUAGGGUUUUGCUUGUGAAUAAAGCAAAUCUUAGCUUAAAUGGAUAGACGUCCUUCUGUUUUUUCUUCUUCCAUAGUUCUAUUUUAUGUUCGGGGAACAACUAAUGCAUUAGUGCAUUUUCAAAUUGCAAAUGUUUGAAUUUUUUGUUAUGCUUUUAAGUUUCCUUACCCCUAGCCAGAUAUCACUUGCUAAAUAUAAGAAAUGGGGUUAUCAAAUCAUCAAUUUUUUUUUUCAUUAUGCAGACCACCAUUGCCAUGCAAAUGUAUGAAUUUUUGGUUAUGCUUUUAAGUUUCCUUACCCCUAGCCAGAUAUCACUUGCUAAAUAUAAGAAAUGGGGUUAUCAAAUCAUCAAUUUUUUUUUUCAUUAUGCAGACCACCAUUGCCAACUUCGGCAAUAUUAUGUUUCGUCCAGAACAGUUUCAGGAAAUACUGCUAGAUAAGGUUUGUAUCAAGUAUUUGUUUGGAAUGUUGCUUUCCGUAUUUCAAGUUUGCUCAACUAGCAAUAAACAAGCAUUUCUUCUUCUUUGCCUAUUUAUUACACUCUUAUUCAGAUUCUAACAGGCAAUAUUUAACUCAUUGUAGAUUGGAUUUAGAACAGUAGAAGAUAUCACUUCAGGGUUGACUGGUACCAAGGCUGGUUUCAAUAGGCCAAUUUUGGUUUUUCAGAAAUGAUACAUGUAGUAAGUCAGCUGCAUAGUCAAAGUUAUUUAAUAUGGAGUCAUUCUUCCCCAUAGAGAAGCGUCUGUUACAUUUUUUGAAGUCGGUAAUGGUUACUUGCGAUGAAGCUAAUGUUCAUAUGUGUAUGUUUUUGUCCAUUGUGAAUGAUGGCAGUGAAGCAAAUUUUUUGUUGAUAGGGGCUUGAAUGUAGAGAAUGGAAAUACAAACUUGUAUGUCUUUUGUGUAUUUUGCCACUAGUAUGUCAAUUUGAUUCUCUCAUUAUCAGUAAAAUCAAAGAAAAGGAAGUAAUGAAUGUCUUUUUAAGUUCAGAUUAAGAAGAAAAAAUAAGAAAUGCAAAUUCAUACCAACAUAUUGAUAAUUUCUCACCGUUUUUUAACCACAUCAUUUGAGAUAAGGAUAUCAUCUAAGUUCUAUCUAAUACAUACUAAAAUAACUACCAACAUCAAGAAGCAAAUAUACACGGAUCUGACCAAGUUUUGAGCAAUUUUGACACAUAUUUCAGACAAUCACACUCAAUUAGUAAAAGCUGGUAGUAUGAUCUAUUAUUGCUGCAGAAUGACUGAAAAUGUUCCAAAUUGAUAUAUUAAGAGGUUACCCACAAGCGCCUCCAAGGCCCUACUAGAGUAUAUAGAUUAGUUGAACAAGUGGUUUUUGUUUUAGAAACAACUGGUUCUACUGCUGCUGCAGACGUUGAGUUUGAAGAGUCCAAGUUGCCUUGACUUGAUUUCUACACUCAAGAUCAUCUUCAAGCUCAUCAGAUUCUCUAGAUGUAUCACUCCGAAUUUCUCAAGUCAUCCGUGCUAUAUGUUGUGCUCGCUUUCCCUUCCUAUCAUCAUUUGCUCCUAAUACAACCACUUUAUCUUAUUGAUACUUUUCUGCUUGCCCAUUGCCACUUUGCCAGAAAUAAUUAACUCUGAAUUUGCUUUCUCUCCCAAGUUAGUUUAGGCUGGUGGAAGGUUGAACCCCUCCAGGAUAGACAAAGUUAGGUAUCUUACAACGUUUUACAUGGGAGACCUUGAUAUCCAUUCCAGGUUUCCGUAGAGUGUACAUGUUGAUAGUGUGCUUAAAUUUUUCAAUAGCUAAUCUUAUAUCAAAUUGUUCACCUUCAUUGAAAGGACCCUGCUUCCGUUGCAGACCCAUGAAGUAAUAGCAGUGUAAAGGUCUUGAUUUGUCAGAAAAGUCACCAGGAUGUGGAUGACAUUGAAGCAUGACAGAAGUGUGCUUCUCAAUCUAGAUGUUUAACAGACAAUGAAGUUAGGUUAUUUAUAUCUAAAGAUCAUAAAUAGAAGCAGAGGUGAGAAAGAAAAUAAGGAAACAACAAACAAUAUGUGCAUGUUUGGAUACACGAUGAAAAAUCACGGUGAGUCACAACUUCCUUUGAUUAAAAAUCAUGGUGAUUCAUGAUAGUUUUUCACUGUGUAUCUAAACAUACCCUAACAACACAAACCUUCAAUGUCAACAUGCGCAGACGAGACUUAACCAAACCAUUCCAUUCUCUAAGAUCAUCCACAUUUUCUGCAGAAAUAACUAUCUGCAAAUAAUUCUUAUAAGCUUCAGAAAAGGGAUAAGACUCAAAAAGAGUAUCCCAAUCAGCCUUGCUAGCCUCCAUAGCCUAAAAAUAUCAGAAACAUCACAUUAAGCAAUCUUAAUAACAAGUAUAAUUAUAAAUUAAAUCAUUAUUAAUUAAGUAUUGGCCAACCUUUACAGAAAACACAACAAACAUGCUAGUAUAUUUCUGGAAUCGUAGCUCAAACAUGCACAAAAUAAAGAAUCAUACCUCACAUAUUUCACUCCCUCUCUGAAACUCAUCCUUCAUAAUACGCAAUGUACUUGAAGACACAUUGUAACUAGAAUUCCAGCAAGGAUAAACAGGAGUAAUUAUCGGCAUCCGAUGGGAUCUAUCCCUAGGAUAUUUUCUAGGAUCCCAAACUUGAAGUCCAAGAGAUCCUUCUUCAAUAGGACAAAUCAUUACAGGAUUUGGCCAACGCCACUGAGUAUAUACCCUGAAAAACUGAGACACUAACAUAUUCGGCAGUGCAUUGGGAAAUAGCUGAUAUAUUCGAGCAAGCAAUGUGUAGUUUAUACUUUAUACCACCAAGAAAACCAGUAGCCUGGGCACAACAUAUGAAGAAGCAUUAGGAAAAUCUGAACAUAACAAAUAGCAGUGAAUAAAUUCAGGCCAAAACAUAAAAGAACCCCAAAGAUAUCAUCUAGAGUAGGAGCUUUGACAUACAUUUGAAUAAACUCCACAACACUUCGCCCAUAGCCUGAUGCAUCUCAAUGCCAUUUGAAAAUUCUGCAUUUCAUAAACAGAAACCCAAUCAAUGAAGAAAGUCACAGAAAGCUGAAGAUAAUUUCUCUUGUCUUUAAAAUUUAUAUACAUUACCUGAAUAUUUGGAACCAAAUGCAAGAUUUGAUCGGUCAUUCGACAACUAUUAAGACUACGAACAGUUUGUUCGUCUGCAUUUUGUAAUACUGAGUCCUGUGAAAUAUCCAAGUCCUGUCCAACAACAGAAAAAACAUACCAUUAAGUGGUAUGCAAUAGGUAUUAUCACCCUUCAAAUUAAAUUAAAAGAGUGACAAAUGGAAGUAUGGAACAACUUGAACCUAUUAAUCUCUUCACCUUCAUUGAAAGGACCCUGCUUCCGUUGCAGACCCAUGAAGUAAUAGCAGUGUAAAGGUCUUGAUUUGUCAGAAAAGUCACCAGGAUGUGGAUGACAUUGAAGCAUGACAGAAGUGUGCUUCUCAAUCUAGAUGUUUAACAGACAAUGAAGUUAGGUUAUUUAUAUCUAAAGAUCAUAAAUAGAAGCAGAGGUGAGAAAGAAAAUAAGGAAACAACAAACAAUAUGUGCAUGUUUGGAUACACGAUGAAAAAUCACGGUGAGUCACAACUUCCUUUGAUUAAAAAUCAUGGUGAUUCAUGAUAGUUUUUCACUGUGUAUCUAAACAUACCCUAACAACACAAACCUUCAAUGUCAACAUGCGCAGACGAGACUUAACCAAACCAUUCCAUUCUCUAAGAUCAUCCACAUUUUCUGCAGAAAUAACUAUCUGCAAAUAAUUCUUAUAAGCUUCAGAAAAGGGAUAAGACUCAAAAAGAGUAUCCCAAUCAGCCUUGCUAGCCUCCAUAGCCUAAAAAUAUCAGAAACAUCACAUUAAGCAAUCUUAAUAACAAGUAUAAUUAUAAAUUAAAUCAUUAUUAAUUAAGUAUUGGCCAACCUUUACAGAAAACACAACAAACAUGCUAGUAUAUUUCUGGAAUCGUAGCUCAAACAUGCACAAAAUAAAGAAUCAUACCUCACAUAUUUCACUCCCUCUCUGAAACUCAUCCUUCAUAAUACGCAAUGUACUUGAAGACACAUUGUAACUAGAAUUCCAGCAAGGAUAAACAGGAGUAAUUAUCGGCAUCCGAUGGGAUCUAUCCCUAGGAUAUUUUCUAGGAUCCCAAACUUGAAGUCCAAGAGAUCCUUCUUCAAUAGGACAAAUCAUUACAGGAUUUGGCCAACGCCACUGAGUAUAUACCCUGAAAAACUGAGACACUAACAUAUUCGGCAGUGCAUUGGGAAAUAGCUGACAUAUUCGAGCUAUAAGCAAUGCAUAGUUUAUACCACCAAGAAAACCAGUAGCCUGGGCACAACAUAUGAAGAAGCAUUAGGAAAAUCAGAACAUAACAAAUAACAGUGAAUAAAUUCAGGUCAAACAGAAAAGAACACCAAAGAUAUCAUCUAGAGUAGGAGCUUUGACAUACAUUUGAAUAAACUCCACGACGCUUCGCCCAUAGCCUAAUGCAUCUCAAUGCCAUUUGAAAAUUCUGCAUUUCAUAAACAGAAACGCAAUCAAUGAAGAAAGUCACAGAAAGCUGAAGAUAACUUCUCUUGUCUUUAAAAUUUAUAUACACUACCUGAAUAUUUGGAACCAAAUGCAAGAUUUUAUCGGUCAUUCGACAACUAUUAAGACUACGAACAGUUUGUUCGUCUGCAUUUUGUAAUACUGAGUCCUGUGAAAUAUCCAAGUCCUGUCCAACAACAGAAAAAACAUACCAUUAAGUGGUAUGCAAUAGGUAUUAUCACCCUUCAAAUUAAAUUAAAAGAGUGACAAAUGGAAGUAUGGAACAACUUGAACCUAUUAAUCUCACAUAAAUCACUUACUUCCGGAAUAACCAACAAGGAUAAUCUUGCAUAAAUGAGAUCUAUAGAAACACCAUUGACCUUGAACUUCAUCAGCGGAACAGAAGCAUUAGGUACAGGGUGCAACUCUGUUACUUCUGGCAUCUCAGAUAACACUUUAGGUAGCUGGCCAAAGAAAUCCUUCUAAGGCCAAUUCAAAUAAAAAGAAUGGGAAGAAUUAUAAUACAUCUGUGGAUGCAUAUAUAGGUCCCACACAUAUAGCGUCUAUAUCUGCUCCAGGACCAUGCACCUGCAAAAUUUGAAUUAAAAUGGUAAUAGUCAAAGCAUAAUGCAAGAUGCAGAGAUAGUGAGAAGGGUUUGGAAGAAAAAACAGCUUCUUAAUCAUACCCCAAGCCCAUAGGAGCCAAAGGUAAAAACCUUGGCAUUUGCUUCUUGUACCACUUGUUUGUCAAGUUCCUUAGCAUGGCUAAUGGUUUUGACCCAAACCUUCACAAUCUAAUUCAUUUUACAACAUCACAUCCAAAACAAAUGAAUUCAUAAGGAGCUCCACUGCAUAUCAUAGAUGGUAUAAGAUGAAAUGCAACAAUAAAAUAUUCAAUUCCACAAAAGAUACAUGCACUAGAAUAUUUCCCAAGAAGCCAUAUUCUUUCCUAUCCCUCAAUUUCUCAGUAUGGCAAUCACAAUGUGUUUCGAUUGUCCGGGCGCAUACUAUGCAAAGCAUGGUAACUCCAUAAGCUACACUUUGUUCUUCACCAAUAAGGAAUUAUAAGAAUUCCUAGUGCAGAACCAAACAGACUGAGAGUAUUCAAUGCUAUCAACAAAAUAAACUCAACCUGGACUAGCCUUCCAAUCACUUCCUCCCUACUAAUUGCCUCCUGCUGAUUCUCAUACAAACCGGCAUCUUGCAAGUACUGAAAAUCCAGAAUCCAAUUUCAGCACAAAAAUAAAACUUGUAAAAAGCUCAAAAACCAAGAAGAAUUCAAAUUAUAGCAGCACAAACAGAACCUUCUCAAGUUCAAGGGUCUUGAUCACAUCAUAUUCAGUUGGUUCACUCAAUGAGAUGGGUUCUGUUAUUCCAUAUUGUUGCUGCUGCUGCUGCACAAUAUUGUGAUUGCUCAGUCCAGAACUCCUCAUCAAUAACUUGAGUGUUUUCCCCCUUCUUUUGAAAUAUUAUUAUAGUAACUGUGCUGUGUGAUGAUAAUUGUUGAUAGCAAGUACAGUAAUGGGAGAGAAAAAUUUAUAUAAACUUUGAGACAAUCAAAUUAUGCAGGAAUGAUUUCAAAGAAACCCAGAAUAAGUUUCUUCAAGGGGAAGAAAUAAAACAGUUGUAACAACUUGGUGCACCUGUUGGAUUAAUUGUAAAUUGUAAUUAAAAACAAUACUUGGGCAACACUUAAUCUAUAUUUGUCUUUAGGGAUAAAACAGAUAGGGCUGUUCAUGAAGCCUAUAACACAUAAAUAGGAUGUUUGGAUAUAUUUUUCUUUUUUUUAUAUCAAAUUUGAAACUGUGAUAAGCUAUUAAUAAAAAUUUCUUCCUGAAAUUGAUUAUGUAUUAAGUAGGCUUUUGAAAUUUUUACUUAAUUAAAAAGAUCAUGAUUCAUAUCAUGUGAUUCAUAUCAUGUAUAAAGCUUUUCAGGUCCAACACGCUAAAAUAUUUAGAGAGGGGGUGAGGGGAGAGGAGUUUGCUGAUUCCAGUAACACUUAACCAUAAUCCACCUCUAGGCAACAUCACAUAUAAUUUGAAUGUUGAGGAAAAUAAUUAACAAACGUUCAGCUUUGAGCUAGGGGUGCUCAUCGGUUCGGAUCAAUGGCAUGAUCCAAACCUUUGUAGUUGGUUUGAUUUACAUUAAAUGAUGAACCAAACCACAAUCUCAUCUUACAUUGUUUUAAUUUUAAGAUUUUGUGGCGGUUAAAAACUACUACAAACUCAUAUGCCAAUUGAAUGUUCCCAAACCCCGUGGUCCAUGUAGUAUGAUUUUGUAGGAUAUUUUUUUAGAUCGGAAAUGACGCUACAUUUUAUGGAAAUGAUACUAAAUGUUUUUAUUUAAAUCAUUAUGAAAUGAUUUUAUUUGAUUAUAUGCAUUCUUAUACUUUUUUAAUCAAAGGCUAUGGGAUGAAUAUAAUUUUUGCGUACAUUUUAUCAUAGAAUAUUUAAAAAUUAAAUAAUGCUUUAUUUUUAUUUAAUUUUACUCUUUAUUAUUAUCGAAAAGACAAAUUUAAUUUUCAUUGAAGCCCUACAUUUUUUGGUCGAAAUUGAAGCCCUACUUGACUUUGUGCAAAUGCUUUGCUUUUUGUCUCAACUCUCAAGUAAUGAUAAGUAAAUGAAAAUCUCAUUGGUUCCUUCCGCUUUAUGGUGCUCAUUACGGUUUCAAGUAGGCCUUGAAAGCCUAGUGAAAGUUAUUCUCUAUAGCUUUUAUGGAUGUUUUAGAAGCGAAUAUUGCUACUUUCGCAACUAAUAAUGUCCAUAAAGAUUGUAUACAAUGCACUCAAUUGUGUCCGUCUCUGUCCAGUGAGUGUGUGCAUUUUGGACCAUUCUUGAUUGGUUGGUUGGUGGGGAGAAGGAAAAUGAGAUAAUAAUUAUUUCUCUUGAUGUUUUUACUUUCCUUUCAAAGGCAUUUGAAGGAGGUGUUCACACUCAAACCUAAUUGUGAUUCCUACCUCUUUAAACCGAAUAAACAAAGUAUUGUAUAUAAACGUGCAUGCAUAUACAUUCAAUAGACAUUUCAAUUUUUUCUAUCUUGCUCGUAUCAAAUUUAUCAUAUAUCACAUUCAUUAGUUUUUUCCUUCUCUUUAUUUUUCACUUUGAGUGUCAGUUGGAUGUGUGCACUAUGUGAAUAUCUUAAAAUCAUUACCAACAAGGUGUAACAUAGUUGAUAGUUAGUUGAAGUUCUUAAACAUUUAAUCGAUGAUUUGAUCGCUCGACGAGAUGUAUAUGAAUAAUUAUUUAUUAUGAGAGUCCUAUCCACUUAAUAUGAUCUUUAAAGCUCGGAAAAUUAAUCUGGCGGUGAUGGAAAUAGUUUGGUAAAAAAUGAUUUUGUGAAUUGAGUAUAAAUUAGCGUGCAAAAGCACAAGUCAAAUAUAGUAAAACAUCAAUGUCAAAAUGGGGGCCAUUUGUAUUAGUAACACCCCAAAAAAAGGGUGAGGCGUUACUCAAAUUCUUAAUCCAGGGUCCAAUUGAAAUAAUUAUAGUCAUAAUUCCUUAUUACUUUUUACGUUUUCUUCAUUUGACAUAACGCCCCUCAAUUCAUCAUGGCGAAGAGUCCACUUCUUAUUCAUCGUAUUAUAUCAACACCUCUCUCUGUUUGAUCUUUCAAACAAUGGAAUCCAGAGAAAACACAAACCAACUUGUAGAGACCUAUGAUCAACAACAAGGGCAAUACAAGUCCUACAUCGAUUGUCCUGAGAAUUCAGAGUCAGACUCAUCAAAUGAGGUAAGUGUUGGCGAUGCUGCAUCUGAUGAAGAAGAAGAAGUGAGUUUGGAUGAUGAGUUGCUGAAUGAUGGAAACCCAAAUUUUAAGAAGAAGAUUGAGCUUCUAGCUGCAAUGGUUGGAGUUGACACUACAGAGCCAGUGAUUGUGCUGACUGAAGUAGUGAGAGUCCUCAAGCACUUAAAGAGUAUAAUAUAAAUAUCAAUGAACUAGCUAGUACCACAUUACAUUACUGCUUAAGUUCUUACAUGGGGUAAAGAAUUUUAGUUAUUAAUAAUUUCUUGUUGCUUCCAUCAAAAAAUAAUUUGUUGUUGCUGAUGUGUGACUUGCGCAUUUUAACUCUAUGUUCCUUGCUACCUUUCUUUCUAUAUAAGAUAAUCAGUUUGAACUUUUAUGUUCAUUCCUUUCUUCCCAAUAUCUCAUGCACAACUUGUAUCCCACUUUCCUAGAAACUUACUCUAAUUUAUAAACAUUUAUUAUUUUUUAUUUUUAUCUCAUCAUUAAUUUGAAAUUUCUUUGAUUAAUUUAUUUUAAAAAAUUUAGUGAAUUCAGUUUUCAAUUUUUGGUCAAUCCUAAAAUUACCAUAUAUUUAUUUUACCAUUAUAUCAUUUUUUAAUUCUUAUAUUUUUUUAAAAAUAUCAUUUUGCAUUUUUGCCUACGUGAUGCACUAAGAUAUUAGCGAAUACUUCAUAUUGAUCAAGUUAUUUUGUAUAUUAUUACUGUAUUUAUUUUUGGGUGAACAAAUUUGGGUGCUUUCAAGUAUCCUUUAACGUUUAAAAAAAAGUAUCAUUUAAGCAACAACAAAUUUUAUCCUUUUUUUUUUUUUUUUUUUUUUUNNNNNNNNNNNNNNNNNNNNNNNNNNNNNNNNNNNNNNNNNNNNNNNNNNNNNNNNNNNNNNNNNNNNNNNNNNNNNNNNNNNNNNNNNNNNNNNNNNNNNNNNNNNNNNNNNNNNNNNNNNNNNNNNNNNNNNNNNNNNNNNNNNNNNNNNNNNNNNNNNNNNNNNNNNNNNNNNNNNNNNNNNNNNNNNNNNNNNNNNNNNNNNNNNNNNNNNNNNNNNNNNNNNNNNNNNNNNNNNNNNNNNNNNNNNNNNNNNNNNNNNNNNNNNNNNNNNNNNNNNNNNNNNNNNNNNNNNNNNNNNNNNNNNNNNNNNNNNNNNNNNNNNNNNNNNNNNNNNNNNNNNNNNNNNNNNNNNNNNNNNNNNNNNNNNNNNNNNNNNNNNNNNNNNNNNNNNNNNNNNNNNNNNNNNNNNNNNNNNNNNNNNNNNNNNNNNNNNNNNNNNNNNNNNNNNNNNNNNNNNNNNNNNNNNNNNNNNNNNNNNNNNNNNNNNNNNNNNNNNNNNNNNNNNNNNNNNNNNNNNNNNNNNNNNNNNNNNNNNNNNNNNNNNNNNNNNNNNNNNNNNNNNNNNNNNNNNNNNNNNNNNNNNNNNNNNNNNNNNNNNNNNNNNNNNNNNNNNNNNNNNNNNNNNNNNNNNNNNNNNNNNNNNNNNNNNNNNNNNNNNNNNNNNNNNNNNNNNNNNNNNNNNNNNNNNNNNNNNNNNNNNNNNNNNNNNNNNNNNNNNNNNNNNNNNNNUUUUUUUUAUAAAAACCAGCCACAGACAUUCCACUACUGAUACUAAUGUGAUUAAUCAUCUCGAGACUCUAGAGAUCACAUGAAGUUGGUAGACUUCUUUCAACAAAUUUAUUUUCACACACCAUUUAAUGAUUGAAUUAUCAACUAAAUCUUAAGAAGUUCAACUAUCUAAGAAGUAAGAACACUUUGUUUAUUUGUGUCAAGACUUGUUGGUCCCAAAUAUUUUUAAGACCAAUGACACAGUGCAUAGAACACAUCCUCGGCGGGAUGAAUUGAUUUUACAUAUCAUAUAAUCGGGACUCAUCUCAACUCUGCGUACACGGCAAAAACCAUAUUAGCAGAUAAUUAACCAUAUGUUUGUUCCCAUUUCAAAAAUUAAAUGAAAACAUAUGUUUGUUUCAAGAUGCAUUCACACGUAUUUCAUAUUUUACACUUCUAUUAGUUGGAAUAAUAUUUACUUCCGCGUGCAUGAUACUACGAGUGUGACCAAAACCAUCCAUUUAUCAAAUUCUAGAAGUGCAUAUCUUUGAUGUUUCUUUCCUGCGUUUCAAACACAAUUUCCAUUCACUUGUGCGUUUGGUGCAUCAGCAUAUUUACAUGGAUACGUAAAAAACAGCAACAUUUUGAAUAUUUAUUUGAAACACUAAGCUCAUCACAUGCACUUGCACUACAUGUUUGAAUUGUCAGAGCACUUUCACUCUUAAUACCACUUAAUUUUUGCAUUCAACAUUUUCAUAAAUCUAUUAUGAAUAUUAAUUAUCUUCUAAUCUUUUAAGUGCUUAUAUAAGUCAUGAUGAUUGUAAUGGUUCAAACAUAUUUCGUUUACCAAAAAUUAUAUCUCAAUUGUUUAAUUGCUUAUACAUAACCAUUUUAUAAAACUAAAUGAAAAUUUCAUUUAAUAUUUUCAAAUCAAGAGAAACCUGUAGAAAAAAAUCAUGAUUUAGGAUCAUAUUUUUAGUAGUAAUAUAUAUGUACUUUAUUUUUCAUGAUCUAGAUUGUUCAUUGUUUUCACAAUAUGAAUUUUCUAAAUCAAUCGGAAAAGGAGCCUUUUGGAAUAAUGAUUUUCACAAUAAGAGUUUGUAAAGGAGUCUUGCUUGCCUACCUUAAACAUGAAUGCAAAUAAAUUAGUCAACCAUAAAAUAAGUUACUAGAUUAAAACUAGGACAGUAAAAAUUUAAGUAAUUAUGCUAACUAAUUUAACAAAAAGUAUCACCAACCCAAACAUGGAAAGAUAAAUGUGAGACAAUUAAAACCAAAUCUUUCUUAUAAUAUUAAAAUCAGCUGCCUUCAAAUGCUUGUUGUAUAGCUUUCUUUGCUACACCCAUACAUACAGACUAGCCCCAAACACAAUGAUAAUAGAUCAUGUCAUAAAAAUUAGGUCCUUAGAAAUGAUGAAUAAAAUCAUAGAAACUAAACACAUCUUUUCUUCCUAAGAAAAUAACUCUUGAUUCAAACUUAGUUUCCAAGCCCAAGGAGCCUAAGACAAUAUGGAAAUCUAAGCUGAAAUUCUCUUCUUACACAAUCAAAAGUCAAUGUGCCAAACUUAAACUUCUUAGUUACAAGAUAUUUGAGGAUCACGAAAUAACCUGGGUCACAUAUACAGUGCUGUGAAUUUGUGAUUGAAGUUGUGUUUAGUAGGUGUGAGACAACCUACAUAAGCGUCGGCACAAAGAGCUCUCCAAAGCUUCAACGUAGAUGACACUUUACAUGCUCUUAUAACCAACAUUAAAAUGGAGCAACAUCAACUCAACAUUUCCUUCAUGCAUUCUCACCCAAUGGGUUGAUGCUGAGCUGUUAGAAGUAGCAGACUAGCAUCCUUCCGACAACAACAAUCGGCAAAGCAUGUCCUGCAAAAUCAGCAAGUAUGAACUAAUAAUUGCACAAUCCAUUUGCAUUGUGUUACCAUAACACAGCAAAAUAUUCAAUAUAAAUCAAUUAAUCCAAAUCUUGAAUUACACUGAAACAAUUAAGUGCUUGCAUGAGCAUCACACUUGUAUGUAUAAAAAACAUAAAAUAGAUUGGUAAAAUAAAAACAAACUGAAGCAUGAAAUCUCUGUUCAUUCCAACUACGAUUAAUUAUAUAAAAUUACAAAUUGAUAUGAGCAAGACAUUGUAAAUUUUUUCCUUUUUUAAAUAAAAACUUCAACAUUUAAACUAUCAUGAAAACUCUUCAAUAUUUAAACUAUCAUGAAAACUACCAAAUCAUGAGCAGAUCUUGAUAAUUCACCCCAAAUAACAGACCAGCACAUCAUCAUGAUACCACUAUUUCAGUAACUUUACAGCCAUUAUGCUUACCUCUCUAUACUGUAAUUUAUACUUACCAUCACAAAAGGCAUAUGAUGAGAUCAUAAGAAAAGAAUCAAAAUGAAAAACAAUUGAUAAAUAUGAAAUUCUUCUAGUUUAUAUCUCUCCCAUUUGGGGAAAUUUCAUUCAUGGAUGCUUCCUAACAUGAUAUGUGAGUAAUGGAAGCUUUAAGUGCUAUUUCUUAUCUAAACAACAAACAUAACAAGGUAAAAAUAAAUCAGAGAAGGAGACUGUCAAAACUGGGAUCAUGUAUAUAUAAAAAUUGGAAACUUAAAAUACAUUUGCAAUUCAAGAUAUUGUCAAUCAAUUUAAGGUUUUAAACCAAACUGUGUUGCCACCUGUCAUAUGGCACGAGGAUAAUUAUAAUCAAGUAACUUAUCAGGGGAAGGGGCUACUUCACACAUAUUAAUGUUACACAAAAACAUAAAUACACAAGAUUGCAGUGUGCUACAUUUGACAUCUAUGUACAGCACAAGAGCCAAGCCUGGAUAGUCUGUAUUUUAAUACCGCAGAUUUCGCUGCAGUCACCUCCGCAAAGAAGCAACUUUGAAUGGCCUCAAAUAGGAUCUAUGCAAUUUGUCAACUUUCAAGCACAUUUGCAGUGUCCAUGAAUACAUCACUAGAAUAUUCUAGACCAACACUUGGGGAAAAGAUGCAUGCAAACCACCAUGCAUUUGCAGCUUCACAUAUGUAUACCAAGAAUUUUCUUCAUAGGAUUCAGCUGAAAAUACAACAAAAUACAAGGGUCACAUAAAAUUAACCACAGCAAGAAGUCGAGUAAACCUCCAUUUUCAUCCUUGAAAAUAGCAUGAUUAUUUACAUCAACCCCUUCACUAAAGAAGUAUGAAGGGAAGUCCUCAACCUUUUUGUCGGUCACAUUAGCCCAUUCAAUAAAAAAUAGGUUGAGGACUAAUGUGAAUGACAGAAAUACAGGUCAAGGACCUUUAUCUGUGCUUCUUUAGUGUAGGGACUAAUGAAAAAUCAUGACAAUAUCAAGUAUGAAAAUAAGGGUUUACAUACAGGAGUAUAAAUCAGAAAAUUACCAUAUUUGGCAUUUAUUUGGCAGAAGAAAUGCGCUGCAGAGAUGACAUCCAACUACUUGAAGGGGCAAUUUUACUGCCUUGCCCUUGUCCAGGGUUGGAAGCUUUAGCAGAAAAGGCAGGUUUCAAGGAGGUCCGAUUUGCAGCACCAGCAGAAUAUGAAGUAGAUGGCAUAUUUGAUUCUCCAAAAAUCUACAAAAAAAAAAUAAUAAAAUAAUGCUUGCUAAAUACUGAUCUAGUCAAUUUUAGACAUAAUACUGUACAAUAAGAGAGAUGUGACUUCAGUAUUGCAACAAAGCAACAGCAGAAAAAAUUAAAUUACUAAGAAAGAUGACUUACAUUCUUGUCAAGAGGAUUUUCAGAACUCAAAUUUCUACCAACUGGAGAUUUCAACUGAAUUUUAACACCAGAAGUAGCAGCAUUGCCUGAUCUAAUGCGCUCUUUGACGUGCCCUGAAUAUGCAUUAAGACCUACGAAUUAGAUAAUAUCAAAUUAAAAUUUGUUUAAGUAGAAAACUAAAGGCUACUUUAUCUGUCUUCCUAGACUGACCAAAUCUAAUUAAAAUUUUACAAACAUAAAGAAUUCAGCCAACAUUGCUGGUUAUCCAUGUAAAUGUCACUCUUACUAUGAAUUUGUUUUGCAUUCAACACAAGUUUAUUUCUUGAUAGGAAACCCCUAUAAAUGACAGCUUAUUUAAGGUGCACCAACCUUGGUGGUUGUCAGCAUCCAUUGGAAUACCACGACUGUUACUUGCUACAGGAACUGGCUGCAACUAGACAAAAUUCAAUAUUGUCAGAAGCAUGGAAAGAUUCAAGAUUCAAAACCAUGAGUAGCGCCCCCCUCCCCUAAAAACACACAUGCACACAUGCACAUGGCAAAAGAAAAAAAUAUACUUACAGAUAAGGAGGGCUGCACUGCAUUCUUUUGUGAUUGCUGAUACUUCAAAAUGGUCCAAUCAAAAACAUAAUCAAAGUCAUAACCUGAUACAUCAAGAAAGGCAAAAUAGAGGGAGGAAAGGUUAUACUUGGCAUAGAAAUGAAAUAUCAAAAUAACACUUUUGUACAAGUGUUGCAUCUUCUAAAUAAUCUAACAGAGUAUAUUAUUAAUUUUUUAUUUUAAGGAAAAAAGUUCCCUUUACUUUGAUCUUAGUAAGAUAUUAUGUUAAUCAAAUUCCCAGUAUUUAAAUGUAUUCAAAAGCACACCAACAGAAAGACGCAACUCCUUUGAUUAUAUGUUAUUCAAAUAAUGAAAAGAACAAUAACCUUCUCGAGCAAAUAGGUCCCGAAAUAGGCGCUUCAAGAAUCCAUAAUCAGGUCGCUGAUCAAAUGUCAAAGAGUGGCAGUAAUGGAAGUAUGAAGCAAACUCAACAGGAUGAGAUUUGCAUAGUACCUUUGGAAAAUAACAAACAAAAGAGUAAAUCUUUUUUGUUUUGUUUUGUUUGGGACUUUAGGGGAAGGAGGCCUUCACAUCGCAAAUAAAUGCCUAAACACCUACCUCAAUAGGAGUUGAUAGUUUCUUCUGACAUAUUUUAUCAUACUUCUGCUUCUUUGUUGCAGCCUUCAGACCUUGCCAAGGAAGACUGAACACAAUAUUAAGUUAUAUAAAAGUUAGGACAUUUCGUUCAAUCAUCUCAACAGAUAUUAGACUGACAAAAUACAUUAGGAAAAAACCAAGUAGAGCAGAAUGGCACACCUUCCUCUGAGGAAGUACAAAAGUACAUAUCCUAGUGAUUCCAAAUCAUCCCGUCUACUUUGCUCUGCAAAUAAUAUAGCAAGCCAGCAAGAGUUAACAUCCAUUCAGGGUGAAGGGUUAAUAACAUCUAACUUCAGACUUACCAAUCCCAAGAUGAGUAUUGCAACUAGCAUAACGUGCAGUCCCUGUUAAGUUCUUGUUCUCCCUGUGUUGCAAUUGUUAGAGUAUUAUUACACGGAAAAAGAAUCUUCAAAAUAAAGAAAAUGAAAUCAUAGAACUACCUGUAAGGGAUGUGGCGAUUGGUUGAGGAGUCCCGAUAUCGUUUUGCCAGCCCAAAAUCAAUUAUGUAAACCUGAAAAGAACAGCAUAAUUACACAUACAUGGAACCUUAACAAAUACAUACAUAGUGGAAGGAAGGGCAAGUACAAGAAGGUUACCUGGUUGGCCUUCCGUCCAAGUCCCAUGAGGAAGUUAUCGGGUUUAAUAUCCCUGUGUAAAAACCCUUUAGAAUGUGCAUAUUCUAUUCUAGUGAUCUGCCCCAAAUUUGAAAAGAAGAAUUAAUAUCAAGUGUAGAACUAUAACAGAUAAAAUUAACAGGUUUUCAGAAGUAAAAUGCAAGACUAUAACAGAUAAAAGUGAGCAUGAAGGGUCAGUUGUUGUGCCCCCAAAUUUUUCAAAAUGUAGCAGCAGCAUACCAUUUGAUCAGCUAACAUUAACACUGUCUUCAACGAAAACUUCCUUCCACAAUACACGAAAAGAUCCUCGAGACUCGGUCCCAGCAAAUCAAGAACAAGCACGUUAUCCUCCCCGUCUACCCCAGACCAUCUCGUGCCCGGAAUGCCACCUGCAUACCAAUCAACAAAUUAAUAAGUGUGACCAAAUUCAAAAUUUUAGAACAAUAACACAGGCGAAAAAAGAAGAAGCUUAACACUGCAAAUUGCAAAAUACAUACUUCCUCCUUGAAGAAUAUUGUAGAGUUUUGCCUCAUAAAGCAGUUGUGGAUGCUUAGUUUUACUGUUCUCCUGCAACAACACCGAAUAGAGAGUAGUAACUAGUAAGUACCAAUGUAUCAUAAACACGUAAACAACUCAAUUUUAUGUGAAUUAAAAACCUAAUUGCCAGUGAGCACCAAUCAGAACUGACUCAUGCAAUAUAAUCAUACACGAAAAAAUCGCAAUCAGCAAUAGUGUUCAUAAAUUAGGGCACAGAAUCAGAUAGCGAAUAUGAAAAGUAAGAACAGAGAGACUCACUAUCUUGACUGCAACGAUCUCAAACGUAUCAAUAUGCGUAGCUGCAAGGGAAAAAAGCGCGAUCAGAACAGAUAAACGAAGAAUCAACAGUUGUUGUGGAAUCAAUUGAAUACUCACCGAGGUAGAUUUCACCGAAGGAUCCGCUUCCGAUCUUGCGGCCGAGCUUGUAUUUGCCGCCAACGAUACGCUCCAUGUGGUGGAAGGUUCCAGAAGCCAGUGACAGUGAGGUUUAUGAACCAAACCAGAGUGCGAGAGAGGGAAGAAGUGAAUUAUUGAUGGUUCUCAGUUUUUUGGUGUGCUUUUCAGCACUGAAUCAUGAGAGAAGAGAAACCAGAGCCACACAGUAGAGAGAGAAAGAGGAGAGAGAUAGAUAGAGAGAGAGAGAGAGAGAGAGAGAGAGCGAAGGUUAUAUACAUACACGAAAUGCUUCAUGGAGGUGGGGGUAUUUGUGUCUUUUAAUGAGUUGUUGUUUGUAUGCUCACGGCGACUGACUCUGUAGUCUGUAGGUUAAGUACAGGCAUCCAUUUACUCGCAUGGGCCAUGGACUACUGCAGUAUUUUAUAUUUUCUUGAACAACAUUAUUAUUUUUAAAUAAAAUCAUAAUAUUUUACUUUGUCCCUUUAGUUUUUAAAUUUGCAAAGGCAUUCCACGUGCGUUACUCAUGAGAUUAAUCUCCUCGAUACUCAGAUAUCACAUUAAGUGAAUAAGUAUUUUCCAACAAAUAUUUUACCAUACGCACUGCUCAAAUUUGGACUAAAUAUUCACGAAAUUCAGUUAUUUAUCAAAUAUGCAAGAUAUUGUCCGUCUUAAUCUAGAUCAUGUAUGAUUUUGUUUUUUUGCUAAUGAUCAUGUAUGAUUUUGGUUGCUCUAAACUCAAAUUACUUCAUCUCCCAAAUAUUAUUUUAAUUUUUUUAGGGUUUAUGAUAAAUUUAGUAUAUGAUUUAAUAAUAAGAGUUUAAAGAUGAUGUGAAAACUUGUUAAACUUGGAAUGAUUUGGUAGAAUAUGAAAUUAGAUUUAAAUAUAUGGGAAAUUGAUCUUUUUUAUUUUUUAAAAAAUUAUUAUUUUUAUUACCUCUGCAAUGAUUUUAUGAAUUAGUUUGUUAAAAUUUAUCUUAAAAAAAUGAAUUUGAGAGUUUUAAGUAGAAUCCUAAUAAUAAAGAGAUUAAUUUUCAAUACUUUAAAAGCUGAGAGACUAUGUAUGCCCAAAAAUUAUUGGGGUUUAAAAUCUCACAUAGUUAAUACUAGAUGUCUUGGAAUUUUUUUUUUUGGUUAAAUUUUCUCUUUCAAUUAUUACAUUUUUUGGUCAAAUAUUAAAUAUUACAUAUGGGAAAAAAAUAAAUUGGUUUUGCCCAAAGUGAGAAAGGAAGUAAAGAGGAAAAAAUAAUAGGAAAAUAGGUAAAUUCUGAUGCAAUAUAAAGUGAAUAAUAGAGAAAAAUAAUUUAGUGUUUUAAGAGAUGUACGCAUAGACAACAUAGUGAUCUAUGUACAUGCAGGGGUCGCACACUGUUGGGUCAACUUUUGUAGGGUACUGCUUACAUCACCUACUUCGGUUUUUUUAUUAAAAAAUGUGAGUUGAUUAGAAACUGUCUAGAUGGGUUGUGGAUAAGCACCAAAUAUUAUAAUGAGUUUUAAAAAAUUAUAAUGACUCACGCUAUUAGGAAACAGAAAUGCUACUUGUUACAACACAUUCUUUGUCGAAAAGAAAUGAAACAAAUGCAAUUGAUUGGUGGAGAUAUCAUCUAAUUGGGUCUAUGAAACUACCCCACAUUAUAUUUCAUCAAACAACCAAUGAGUUAACAAGAACUCAUUAUUGGUUAGUUUUGUUAAAUCAGAAUUAUAUUUUUGUCAAAUUCUAAAUUCAUUUCUCUUCAAAUAAAAAAAAAUGUAAUUUUGUCUUCAUCAAAGGCCCAGUUUAGAUCAGCCCAAGUAAUGCAGCCCAUCAGCAAGAUCUCAAUCGAGGUAGAAGUUCUGUUCUGCUUGGCGAGGCUGAAACAGAGAGUGUGAAGAGAUGGCAGUAUUAGGAGAAAUGGAGAAGAUGAUCGCAGUGGGUCUAGUAUGGGGCGCCACAAACGCUAUCAUGCGCCGGGGUGCGCUUCUCUGGGACCAAGCUCUCAAAUCCUCCGCCGCAGCCAAGCCACCACCCUCCUCAACCAUCUGGCAAUACUCCAUCCCCUUCCUCAUCAAUCUCUCCGCCUCCGCCACCUUCUUCACCAUCCUCUCCGACGCCCCUCUCUCCCUCGCCGUCCCCGUCACCAACGCCACCACCUUCGCCGCCACCGCCAUCUUCGGUACCCUCCUCGGUGAACAAACUCACCUCCCUCGCGCUUUCUUUGGUACCGCUUUCAUCAUCCUCGGCAUUUCCCUCUGUAUCAACUCCUAGUUUACUAUUUUGCUUCUCUUAGCAUUCUCUAUUUCUUUCAUUUUCAUUUUACUCUUAUGUGUGCUUAGGGUUCAUUCAUGUUUGCAAAUUACUGUGUUCAUGAAAAUUUAUUCUUCCAUAUAUGAGAUAACUUGCCAUACAAAUCAGCAUUAUUCAGCUACAUGGUGUACAAGAAUGAAAUCACAAAGACAGUGACAAAUAGAGAACAUGAACAAGAGAAUUAAAUAAGUGAAUCUGAGCUGAGAAUCUUUGGUUUCGCGAUUUGCAAAGAAUCCAAUUCGCGUUUACUCGGACGAUAAGACUUGUUUAUUGAAGUUAAGACUUGUAGGUUGUAGCUUGUAACCAGUAGUGAUUCUGGAGAGUUUCAGCAUAUGUUUGUGAAGAGGAGAUUAGAAUUGUGUUUUGAAACAUUCCGGAGGGAUAUGUCCGUUGAAUCGCUUGGCGUCUGUGCAGUAGUCAUAGAUCAUGAAAUUCUUUCUGACCCAAUUCAACAGCCUCAUCUGGGCAUGAUUCAGCUGCUUGUGCACCGGAGAGUUCCACCAAUUUGCUGGUAUAUUGGAGGCACAUUGAUUGAUGCUCACUGCCCCAUUCCACUUGCAAGCCCUUGCUCUGAAAUGAUAAAAACUGGCCUUGAAUGGCGCACCUUUCCAGUUGGUCUUGACAUGCCCGCCUCUGGUGGCCCAGUUGUCUGCAUUCCAUAGGCUGGUAUGAACCCUCAUUCCUUGCUUGUUUGGAUAGGCAAUGCCUUCAUUUUCGUAGUUCCGGAAAACCCGGAUUGGCAGACUAUCAACAAACCACCUGUGAGAUAGGCAUAGAAUUAGAUAGGCAUGCAUGAUUCUUUGUCAUGGAACUGAGGAAAUGAAUAACUCUGCUCUGGUGGAAGAAUUUAUCAACUUACACAAUUUCUGUGGGAUUCCAGUGAAUGGUGUAAUUGUGGAAAUCAGCAGUUGGGUCAAACCAGAGGAAGAAUCGUUGCUCUCGGCUUCCUUUUCCUCGGGUGUAUAUGUUGGUAUUUACUAUGUAUGGUUGUCCUGUAGUGUUGCCUAAGAACUCAAAAUCUAUCUCAUCAUGCUGGCUUCCUGUUGAGGAUAACUGUAUGGGUUUUAAGUAAGAAUCAUUAGCACUUCAUUAGUUCAUUUACUGAUAGAAAUCUGAUAGAUUUGGUUUUUCUGAAGUACAUCUAAGUAUUGAUGAAUAAAAAAUGUAUGAUGAUGGUGUUUUAGAAUCCUUUUAGGUUCAGUGAACUUACAUAGAAGGCUGUAACUGUUCCUGCGGAAUUACCAGGUAUCAGCUUGAUCAGCAUUUCAGUACUCCCAAAUAAGAAGGAUCUCUUCGAUUGAGCUGCUGAUCCUGAAAUCCAAAGGCAAAAACACAUUUUUCUACUUAAGCUAAUAGGAGAUGAAUGCAUUUUAUUUUAAUUUAGUAAUUUUACUGCAGUUCUCAUCAUGUUUAGUUUGAUUACAAAUCUUAAAUUGCUAUACAAACAUUAAUAUGAUUCUAUGGUAUCAGGCAUAGGAUUUAGCUCCUAUAAAUAGAAGGACUCACUUUGGAUCAUAAAAUAAGUCAUGACAACCACUAAUUAAGAAUCAAUGGUUGAGAUUUAAAAAGAACCAUAGCUUCUUAUACAUGUGCAGUUGUGCACUAUGAUCACAAUCUUAAUCAAUGGCCGUGAUGACUUAUGUUACCCUGACUCUUAACUUUAGAGGAGUCAAAUCCCAAGCCAUAAUAUCAUUCUUGUACCAAAAAAAAAUAUCAUUCUUGUACACUAUUGUUCAAAUUCAACAUAUUGAAAAAGGCAACAACCUUUUACUAUGCAAAAUUUAUCUCGUGCUUAAUUAAAAUGAAUGUAUUGAUACAUUAAUGGAUGCACGGUAAACAUAAAUGUUUCACCUGAUGUUCGAUCCAACACAAGAUGAAGGUCUUCACCAAGGAUUGAUGCAUGUUGAGCACCCCAAGUGAGGUACAUGCUCUUGGAAAAGUUGGCAUCCACAUGGGUGAUGUUCGGUAUGAGUGCACAGAUUAACAAAGCUACCAACAUGUUUUCAAAUUUUGCCAUGUUUACUCUUAUGAACAACUUUUGCCUGUGUUUACCGUUCUCUGAAGUUGAAAACUUGGAUGAUUUAUCACAAUGGGUGAGGUCUUUAUAUAAGUUCCAAAGAGCCAUAUGAUAUGACAUUAUAAAGUUGAGUUUUGUGUUAUUAUGAUCUAUUUACUUGGAUUGAGUAGUAGUAUUAUCGAUUAUUGACUUGUUCAUGGGAUUUGUCGUUCAGAAAUUAAUGUUUUUGAAACUGAGAGCCUAUAGAAUUUAUUCCAGGGUUCAUGAAUAAGUUGGCUCCUCAUUGGUACAGAUGUUUAAAAUGUGGUCCUAUUCUGUGUUCUUUUGAUUUUUCUUUUUUGAAUUUGUCAUAGCUACUUCAGGCACAUCUAUGAUUUGAACGUUUGAGAAUCAAACUAAAUUGUAUUCAGUUACAAUCAUGAAAAUCAUUUUUUUUAAAUGUUAAAUCCAAAUCAUUUGCUCCAUCGGGAUUCGGAUAACAUUGUCGUUAAAUAUUCGUACAAGAGUCAGGAAUUUUAUUUUUCUCCUUUACUUUAGGUAUAAGUUAAAUGAAUAAUUAAAUGAAAUGUUCAUUAAAAAAUGCAGCAAAAAAAACUAAUUAAAAAAAUACAAUGAAAUAAUAAUCACGCAGAAACAAUGUUGUUCACUUAUUCUAUGGCUCUAUUGUAUUGGAUGUGCACCCACAUUCCCUUGCCAGGCACGCCACGGUGGUUCACAAAGAGCAAGUAGUAGCCAGGAGGAGCAAUCACAGAGUUUGGUGGUGCCGCUAUCCUAACCCGGUAAAGCCCUGGUGAGUCCACCAUGAGUUUGUCAAGCUUGAGAACCAAAAGCCUCUGACCCAUGGAGAAGCCGUGAGUGGUGAAAGGUGGGAAAUACAUGGUCACCUUAAUGUCAUUCAUGGUCAACUCAGCUCCAUCUUGCACAGCGAAUACAGUCUCAAAGAAUUGCCCAUACCUCAACUCCUUGGUUGAUUCAUCCUCAUUAAUCUUAGGCCUGUAGAUGUCAAAAUCCACAUCCAGAUAAGGAGGAGAAAAUGCCUCAACUCUGGUCUCAGUUGGGAACUUGUCAUUAUCCUUAUAGGUUUCAUGGGUGUUGCUACCACCAACCCAAACCCUGCCAUCAGGAAGCACUAGUGAAGUUGAGUGAUACAUUCUUGCUAUCUGGGUAGGCUUUAGCUCCCUGAACCUCAACCCUUUAGGUUUCUCUGGGCUAUACAACACUGGGGUGUAGUUGGGUUUGUCAGCAUCCCACCAUGCUGCUGUGCCCACUUGUGCACCAUUAAUGAGCAAGAUUUCUCCGUUGGGGAGGACAAGAGAGUCUCCCAUGGUUCUUCUUGAAGGCAUUAACUCGGAGUCCCAUUCAGGGUAAGGGUCAGUGAUGGUUAGCCUGUUGCAAUCUUGAAGUGCAGGGUGGAAGAUCUUUCUUAACUCAGACAACUCGAAGGCGGUGGGGACAUUUCCACCACAAACGAUGACCUCCGCCUUGUUAUCAGCGGCAUUGAGGUCUAUUGGGAGGAGGGCGGACAUGCCAGAGGCAGGGUAGUUGCGAGAGCCGCCAGGGAGAACGGGGAAGGUGCGAACCACUUUGUGGGAGGUGGGGUUGAGGAGGAUAGAGCGGUUGUUGGAGAAGAUGAAGAGGUUUCCGUCGAUGGAAAGGUGGACAAAUGGGUACAAAUUGUUCUCAUCGAAGUCGGAAGUCUCAUACAGGUAGGGGAAGAAGAAGGGUUUAGUGUUCUUUUCCCCUUCUUGUCUUGGAAUGAACUCGUAGCUAAAAGCUCUGCGCCCUCCUAUCAAAAUGAAGUCUCCAUUUGGAAGAAUUUGUUGAGUUGCAUACCUAUUCAUAUGUGAGCAUUUGAGAAUAAUUAAUCACCAUUCAUAUAUAUAUUUAUACGGGCAAUAUAGCAUUGUUAACACAACACAAAAAGAUAAAAUAGAUCUCAAUAUGUUCAUAAGGCAAGAGUUCAUGAGACAGACAUUGAUAAAAAUAGUCCUUUAAAAUCAUAAGUACAUACCAUCUAUCGGCUGCCAACACGUUGUCAUAUUCCCUCCAUUCACAUUCUUGGCAAGCACCACCACCUAUGUAUCUGAGAGUUCUUCCACCAUCAGCAAAACCACCAGCACCCACGAGGGUACCAUCAGGUGCAAGCCCUCCAGAUGAACACCAAGGAUCUCCUCCUUUUAUCUGCACCAAAAUGAACAUUAUUUACAACAUGUUUCGAUCAAGUUCUCUUUUAUCAGCAGAUCAAUUCAAACACGAAUAAGUUUCUCCACAUAAUCAAUUUUAAUUUUAGAACCAUUUAAUAGAACGAUAAAAAAUUGGUACAUACCAAGAGUGGCCUAACUUGAUUUGUCUCAAUAUCAUAUUCAACAGCAUGAGCAAAACAAUCAACCCUGUCUUCUUUAGUAGCGAAAUCUUUGUAUGGAACGCAUGGUGUCCCUUCUGGUAAUUUGAUUCUGGAGGUACGGUAAACUUUAGCAUCAAAGACUAUGAUCUUAUUUGUUGGUAACAAAUUGACAUGCAUUGCUGAAACACCAGCGUUUUCAGAAAUCAGCUCCCAAUGUCCAAUAUUAUUAAUUAUGAAAUCUUCCUUCUUGAUUUCCUCCCCUAGUUCAGGAGGAACAAUUUCUUUAUCACCAUCCCCAGGUUCUUCUCCGUAUAUAGGAGGUGGAUCAAAGGGUAGGUCUGGAAAUGGAUGAUGCUUCCUCCUGCGAUGGUGUAUGUGCUUCUUCUUGUGCUUCUUGUGUCUUGCAUCCACAUCCACGGCAAGGAACAAGAGACUGAGAAUCAAAACAACCUUGAGCAAACGUGCCAUUAUUUUCUAGAUUGAUAAAAAAUUUAAUAAUGAUAGAAAACCAGACACUUCUUCCAACACACGGCUUGUUAAAGCCUCGUGUGGAAUUAUGGGUGUCUGGUUUCCUCAGUACAGGUUUUUGUCAAAUGAAACUUUCAUAUAGCUUCAAUAUAUAUAGUGUUAGGUUUCGAGGCAUUUAUUGCUGAAAUAUAGCAAAUGGUAUUGUAAAUUCUUCUAUGUUUAGCUAUUUGUUAGGGAAUAACAAUAUUACAAAGCACCAAUUAAUAUCUUUUAACUUGAAUCGUAACAAAAACAUCCAACUUAAAUGUGGUGUAUAUAAAACCAUAAAGUCCACAGAUAGACUUUUUAUGUUUUGACAUAGGGGCUAAUAUGUAUUAUAGAACUUAUAACAAAAUUACAAAGCACCAAGAAUUUCUUUUUAACUUGAAUCGUAACAAAAACAUCUAACUUAAAUGUGGUGUAUAUAAAACCAUAAAGUUGGACAGAUAGACUUUUAAUGCAAUAUCAAGAUGUCAUAAACUGAUAAACAUCUAAUACAGGGGAUACAAGCAUGAAAGUUUAUCACUGUUGGAUAUGCAUUGUUCUUCCAAAGUUUCUCCUCAAUGUGUAGAUUUUCCAGAGGUUUAUAACUGUGUCAGGGUUUUAGUUUCUUUUAUGAUAAUAUCAAGUCUUCUUACUCUUGUUACAUAACCGGACCAAAUCCAUCAAUCAAUCUAGGUUGAGUGUAACUCUUCUAAGGUGGUGAUGAUGAUUUCUUUGAGAAUUUAUUUAUGUGAAAGGAGAAUCUUUUUGCAUUGGUUUAUCAAAUGCAAAGAAUCAAAUCUACCUGCCUUAACGUGGUCUAUUGAAUGAAUGGAUGUUUUCUUGAAAGAAAAAAAACUUAGAUAAAAAAGGCAUAAAAUCAAAAAUUAAUAAUGAAUUUUGGUGUACAAAAACAAUAAUUUUUACAAACAGGUAAAAAGAAGAACACUUGUUAAACUAGCAAAUUCCCUCACCAGACAAAACAUAGAAAACCAAAAUGACAAACAAAUAAAAGAAAAAGUAUGAUGUUCUUCUUUUCUUACCUUUCUAUGACAAACAAAAUGCUCACAGGCUUACAUUAACUUGUAGAGAGGGAGACUAGAUUACCAGUGCAAUACAAAAUUUACAUACUAAGGGUAGCCUUAAUGACUGUGAUUAAAGUGAAGUAAGGGAGAACCUUAAAAACCUCGACCGUCCACCUCAAAAUGAUGUAGACGUUUACAGCAAACCUAAUAUACUGUCAUCAACAUAUCUUGCAUCAUCAUAAAAAGUUUAGGAUGCUCCAAUCUCCUAUAUAGAAUUAUACAUAAGCAAGAAGGGUAUUAUAUGCUCAGAUGUGAUCUGUCAUCUUCAUGGAUCAGUGUAGAUAAAGGCAUGCUUCAUUGCUCUAGGUGCGGCUUUUGCACUUUUCCAUGGCCCUAGGUGCUGCAGGAAUCAGAAUAUAGAUGAGUGAAAAUAUAAAUAUAGAUCAUAAACUUCAUGGAAGCAAUUCAGAGGGACAGUCAGUGGAUGAAAUUGUUUUGUCAAACUAGGAUUUUGUUUUUCAAUUUGAAUGAGAUAAUGACGAGUAUCGUGGUUUUUCCACAUGUUUGGAAAUCCUUGUACAAUUGAUUCUGAAACCAAAAUCAAUUCUGGGGAGAAGCUUAUGAGAGGAACUUCUGGGUGCCUGCCUAUAUUUGAUUAUGAGGAAAAAUAAACUGAUCCAAAUAUGAUAAAGAUGGAAAACAGAGACUAUAACAUAUUCAUCAUAGCAAGUGUUGGACCUACCUAGCCCAAUUGCUUCAGAACUCUUCAUUAUCCUCAGCCUCUUGCAAGAGUCGGUGAACAUCCUAGAAGAAGAAAAAUAAAUCAUGUCAGAUUUCAGAAUGAAAUACACAUUUUUCUCAGACAUUCACUUAGAAAUUAUAUGAAAUUGCACUUACUCCCAGGGAACAUCACCAACUAGCAUCCAAUCACCAUCCUUGUCUUCAUAGGUUAGCACAUAUUCCGAACCAUGAAGGAGAUCCAUCAAUCUACUUUCACUUAAAUUUUCUCGACUAGAAACUCCAUAAGCCCCACAUUGACCUGAACGUGUCGAUGAAAACAUCAUCAGAAUCUGUGACAUAUAAAUACAUCCAGAUUCUAUGCCACUUGUCCAACAUUGGAAUCGACCAAGGUUAAUAAAUUCGUUUCAGCAACAGCUGAACUAUCAAAGUGCGGAUAAGGUAUGUUCACAUUUCCCAUUCAAAUGCAAUUAUUUAUAUAAAAAGCUUUUUUGAGGAAAGAUUGAUUGAACCAUUCAAAUUUCAAAGCACUACUUAUGGUUACAACUAGCUUGAGCCUAUGACAUUCAAAUACCUUAGGUCCUGAUUUGCUUAUAAGAUAUAAAUAGAUGUCAUUUGUGAUUAGGGUAUAUUCUUUAUUUUUUCACUUACUCAAAUAAAAAGUUUCCCAAAUAAGAUUGAGAAUAAUCAGAAUCACCUACAAGUAUUUGUGAUUAUGCAGAUGUGCAAGUGUCAAGACACACAAAGAGCAUGCGAUAAGGUGAUAACAAGUUGAUAGCAACUCACUGAUUGUAAAACAACUGAACAUCUUUUCAAGUGCUGAAGAAAGUUCCCUGUAAGUGCUGAAACUAUUUAGAUCCACUUUCCUCAAGUAUGGAGCACCUUCCAUGCUGACUUUUACAUAAAGGCAUCCAGACUUGGCUUCCGCAUCAGCAUCAUCCUUUUGAGGCUGAGAAGCCAUGGAAUUCUUCCUGAAAGAACGGAUUGGUGGCCAUCCCACAACUUGUGCCCUGAUUCAUACAAGAAAAAUUUACUCAAUAUGAUUGGCCUUGUGCAAAGAGCCCAAAUUGAAAAGAAAAAGAAAAGAGGAAAUUUCAAUUUUAAGGCCAGUGAUUAUACACUUGAAACAAAGGAAUCUAGUUAAUACAGAUCCUCAUGUCUAGGUGAAAGUCAAAGAACACAGCGGAAAAAGAAAAAAAAAAUUCAGCAUCGAAAAUCAUGGAAAAUGAUAGUUGGAGGAGUUCAAAUCCCAAACUUUAUACAAAUAAAUAAAGAAAAUCACAGACAAGCUAGAUGCACAAUUAUGGAACAACCAAAUUAACUAUCUGAUUAUGGCUAAUAUAGAAGGAACAUCCUUUAAAUUGGAUAGAAAUCGAGUAACAACAAUUCCUUUUACGCGGCUAAGGGCAUGUUUGCAAAUUCUUCUACAACUUAUUCUAAAACCAGAAUCAAUUUAAGGAAGAAGAGCUUCUAGAUUCUAGGAAAGAAAACUCAUCCAAACAUGCUAUAACACAAUAUAGUAAGCAACAAUUCAACAUAAUUUCCUUCUUUCAAACAAUUUGUGAAUACACUGAAAAACUAUAAACACUAAAUAGGGGCAAGUCAAAGAGCUAAAGUGGAAGAAGAAACAAUACGGUAAAACAAAACACUUUUUGAAGCAUCAAAUGCACAGAGAGAAACAUAUAUGAAUAGCAAGAAGCAAGUAAAGAAGAAAGAUGAAGCUAAAGGAAGAUGAUACUACUUUGCUCUUAAAAAAAAAAAAAAGCCAUAUUCGUUAGUUGAUUGUUGCAGUUAGGCGCAGCAGAGAGAGCGAGAGAAUUACCGGCAGCACCACCCCGAGGAGAGAACAAGACACCAUCUUUACCAGAACCCAUUUCAGAUCCACCGUUUCCAGAGAGAACCCAGUUCCCAGAACCUCCAUCAAUGGCGUCAGAGAAACCCCUCUUAGCACCAGACAACAAACCCUUAAGCGGAGCUGAAAAACCAUUGGUUCCCUCCCUCUCCGGCGACUCAGAGCCUGGCAAGCCAAGCCUCAGCUCAGUGGCUUUGAGGUUCAAGCCAGCGCUCCUCUUUGUGAAAUUCUCAGAGCUUUCCAUUGAAGUAAAAGUAACCUCUGUUACAGACAUCAAACCACCUCGUCAAACACAACCUUCAAACUAUUGUAGAAAUCACAAAACAGAGGAGGAGAAGAAGAAGAGAAAGAGAAGAAGAAGAAUGAACAAGGAACAGUGGAAAAUGUUGAAGAAUCUGUGAAGCUUGUUGGGUUGUUGUGUUGUGUGUUAAGUAGAGAUGAAGGGACCAAAACGAGGAGAAAAUAAAUAUGCUACAGUUUGUGUUUUGCUUUAUUCUGCAAAUUUAUUUAUUUUAUUUUGUUUGGUUUAGUUUAGUGUUUUUUUGUAAAUAAAUUCAUGUGAAUCUUUUUGUGGCCAACUACUCCGACAACCCACAGAAAGUACCGGCAUACUUUCUUAUUUUAACAUCUUUUAUGAAAAUUAUAAAAAAGGAAUUCGAGUCAUUAAGGGUUGCCAGAGCAUCUCCAAUGCAUAGUUGCUAGUUGGGUUGCUUAAAAACUAUUUCGGUGGGUCCAGACUGACACAUAUGAUUUAAGCAACCCAAGCNNNNNNNNNNNNNNNNNNNNNNNNNNNAUGAAAGAAGAAAUAUGAUUUUUUAGUCAAAAAGUAAGGAGAGAGAAAAUAAGCAACCGUUGCUUAAAUUUAAGCAACCCAACUGUCACGUCAUGUUGCUCCAGUGGUGCUCCAAAAUAAGCAACGUUGCUUAAGUUGCCAACUGGAUUUAAGCAACUCCCAUUGGAGAUGCUCUAAUGUGUUCAACUAAACUAAAAACAAGUUUUGACAAAAAAAAAACUAAAAACAAGCAGAUUUUUAGUUUUGUUUAAUGGUGAGAUCAUUAGUGAAAGAAUGAUCAACGAUGAUCCUAUCCAAAAGGAGAAGGAGGAGUCAUUCUUCUUUGAAGAUCGAGGAACGGAGUUUCGAACAAUUAUGUCAUGUCAGAAGUCUUUUAUAUGUAACUUUGCUUUCUCAGACUCUACAAGAUAAAAAAAGUUAAAGACAUGAAAUAUAUAUUGAGGCAUAUAAUAAGAGGAAAUUUUAAUGAAUUAAUAGAAAAUUUAAAGUUAUCUUACUUCUCUUUAUAUAGUUCUCGACUUCUAUAGCUCAAUUAUCAUAUCAUAGAAGUAAUAUUUGAAGCAUUUUCAGCGUUUUUAAAUAAUCCCAGCAACUCAUUGUUUGCUAAUUGCAAGUGGUCUGUUUAGGAUGAAUGAAUUGAAUGAUAGCUCUAGUUACAGUAAUUUUUAAGAUAACUAAAUAUAGAAUUUUAAAAUUGUGCACUCCAUCAAACAAUGGUUUACAAUUUUUUUUUUUUUAUAUAAGCCUUUUAUAUAUAAGCAAAACUAAAAUUAAGGAAAUUCGCGCGAAAAAACUGAGUUGGUGGGAGACAAAACGCCGUAUACUUUGAGAAGUGAACUCUAUUGAUGAGCGUGCCCUUGUCCAAUGCAUUAUAUAAUUUUCUUUCUGAAUAAAAUAAUUUUCUGUGCUAAAUUAAAGAUACUAUAAAAGAUUAAGCAAAAAUGACAUCUUUGUUUUAUGUCAUUAAAUAUAGUAGUAUAUAGUUAUCGAAGAUACUUCAUGCUUGAGUUGAGUUGAUACCCAAUAGACACAUGGAAAGAUGACCAACAUGUUAGUUUAUUCGGUUGAUUUUGAUCACUUAACAAUUUCUAAUUAAUUAAAGUUGGUUAUGUAAGGAAGCAGAUUAUUCAAGGACCACAUAUAUAUAAACUAAAGUAGUCUAUCUUCUACUAGUAACACUUUGAUGCACAUACAUAUGUAUUGUCCCCUAACUUUGUGACAAUUAGCUCCACUAACUAUAUUUUUAAUUUUGACACAAAUCAUAGUUCUUCGAAUCCAAGGGUAAACAAAUUCAUUUUGAGCUAUGUGUAUGUAUAUUAAUAGAGAGGUCUUACAUGAACUCCACCCAAGCGAAUGACAUCUGAUUAACAUAUCGUUAAGUGAUAAUUUUUUACUAUCACUAAACAUGAAGUAUAAAAAAAAGAUUUAAUUGGUGUUUUUUUAUCUCCACCAAUAAAUAACCAAUUAAAAUUCUAAGAAUUUUGUGGUGUCUCGCAUAUUUUUCAAUUGUAAUUUCUAACACUCUUUAUUUUAACAACUGUUUAAGUAAUUUUAACUACGCUAACAAAUAAUUAAAUGUCAAUUCAAUUUAAAAAACUAUAAAAAAAUUAUUAAAUUAUCUUUUUCUUGUAUCUAAUUUUUUUUACAGGUUACAUUAAUCUUUGCUAUAACAAAGUGCAUAUAACUAAAUGACUAAUGAAUGGAACAAAAGAAUGAGCAAUAUAAUUUUAUGCAAGGACCCGCAUCUCUAAAGUGGAUUCCAUUAUGAAAAUUCUUACUUAUAGUUAUGGACCCUAAGAAAAGCAGUGCUAGCAGCAUUGUUAUUGCUGAGUGCUUCAAUUUCUCUCACUUUAUUCCCCUAUCCUCAAACAUAAACUAUGAUGGCACUCCACUAUCUUUGCAAAGAGGCUUUCUCUGGUUGUGGGUUGUUUGGCUAAGCCCAACUGUGUGCAGAUUUGGAAACACAUUGAAAAAUUAUCGUGAAAUUAAAAUCACAAUGAACAAUCACAAAAAUUAAGAGAAGUUACUGUACAUCAUAAUUUUGGCUCCGCAUGUAUCCGAAUAUUCAUUACACCGUACUCCUAUAUCCUAAUCUUAUAAUCCUGUUUGAUGGUUGUGCCCAUUUGUGGUGUUAAAUGUGCCUUCCACUACCAUCAUAAUAAGAUAAGCCUCACCUUUUAAUUCCCCACUUACCAGGAUCUUAAUCUUUUUUCUCCAUUACUCAAAGCAUCGCAUCCAGUCUUAGGGCAAAGUAAUCCCCAUGCAUUAAAUCUUCUUUUUUGAGAUAAGUGCGAAUCAUUAAGGAGAGUAAUAAUUAUUUUGACUGUUUGAUCAGCCUUUUACCUAUCACAAGCAACUGGAUCCGCCACAGGUUUUGUUUUGUUCUAUCAGUAGAAAGCCAAGAUCUAACCAAAAAGAAAAGCUAAUUAAGAACAGCAACACCUAGAAAGACCAAAUAAAAAGUGAGAUGGAAAAGAAUCACAGCUACUAACAAGGGACUUCAAGAAAUUAAGUAUAUGUUUGGAAAUUCUUCUACAAUUGAUUCUGAAUUGAUUAUGAUGAAGCCAGAAUCAAUUAUGCAAUAAAGCUUUUGUAGUAGCUUAUCAAUUUUAGAAUUAACUCUAAUGAAAGAGAAGUUAAUCCAAACAUGUUAUAAGUAUCAAAUGACUGUGAUAAUGGGACCAAAGACUUUUCUGAUAAAGGGUGGAAGACAUGAUGAAUCUGUAAAACAACACUCUCUUGACCCCAUCAUGGAUUUGAUUAAACAUCAAGUGGAGUCCCAACCAACUUUUUCAAUUCUGUAGUCCUAAAUGGACUAUCAUAUCCUUGUAAGAAUAAUUGUACUCUCUCUAUAUCCAAUAAACUAGAUUAGAGAAACAAGGACCCACAAUUUCAGUUGCUUGCUCAAGAUGCUGCUUACAAAAAUAAAUAAAAUAAAAAUAAAAAUCAUACAUGUCUGUGUUUGAGUGGUCUUGAAUAUAUCUGCAUCAACAUUAUCACAAUUCAUAGUUUAAUUACAACUAUAGCUGUGAAUAUGAAAUGGUAAUCUAGCAUUUAAGAGUUUCUUAUUGAAAAUUAUUUAUAAGAUCAAGGUAGGUGAAGUAAACCAUCUUUCCAUGGCCAAUCAGAUAUCACAUGUUAUUUUUAUUUGUACAAAGUCUUUUGUUUGUUAAUAGGGGGGAGGGUUUUGAAUCUGGAAUAUUCAUAGAAUCAACUUCCCGUUUCUUAGAAUCAACCGACACAUAAAAGCUACUUCCAUAAGAUUCUUCUCAGAAUUAAUUUUCGUGCUAAAAUCAAUUAUUGAAGAAUUUUCAAACAUGUAAGUCGAGAUCCUAAAAAUGGGCACUGUUAAGAGAAUGCUGUUAGUGUACAAAAGAAAGAAAAAUCAUGCAAAGGUGUUUGUCUUUUUCUUUGCAUGGAGUGGUUAGAUUGCGCAUCGACGGAGUCCCAAACUAAAAAGAUUGUAUAUGGAUACUAGGCAGAAAAGUGCUGAUUCAGAUAUCAGCCUAGCAUAAUGGUGCAGAAAGAACACCUGAGAGAGGGAUGCACCAAAAAGAAAAUCGGCUAUGUAAGUAAAUGGAAUCCAUAAAGGCCACUACACCAACACCAACAACAAUAAUUGUAAAACCUCUUGGAAAACUACAAGCAUUGCCUACUAGUUACUACAAAACGGAACAAGGACAAAAUGCUCACAAAAAAAGUUAAUCAUGGAUUGGCAUUUGCUUUGGCUUGGACCAACCAUUUUGGUAAUGAUCUAAGCCAUGGAAGAUGUUGAUGAACUCCGUGAAGAAACCAUAUAUGAAAAUAUUCAAAACCAGAAGGAAAGACUUACGGAUUCAAAAUUUAAGCAUGUGUUUUGGCACUCACAUCACUUUUGGAAGCUAAUAAACGUGUAUGUCCAUUUUGAAAUUAUUGCUCCAUCAUCAUUUUUUCUACUUGAUUAGCACAAGGAAGAUUGUAAGUCACAAAAGUGGAAUCCAAGCACAGCACUCUGCCCAAAUCAGGUCUUGUUUGUUCUCAAUGGAAUUCCCAUUUCACAUUUUUCACUAAAGGAGACAGUCUUAUCAAAAGCUUUUAGGCAAGGUUUCAAUCUUGUCAUAUAGCACAACUAAGUGGUGAGAUACUUUAGAAAGCUUAAUGAAUUCCAGCUUGCAAUGCAACCAGCAAGGGCCCAUGCAUCAAACAUGAAUUAUUGACACUCAAGGGGAUUGCAUCUCACUCCAUGUACUAUGAUUAAAUUAGAUACAUGUGUUAUGGACCAGAUUCUUGGCUCAGUCCAGACCCAUCCAAUCUACAUGGGCCAGCCCACAUUGGCCCAUUCCACAUUGCACAAAUGGUCAGCCUGCUCGGCCAACCGAGCCGAGCUGCUACACGGUCAAGCGUGAUUUAGGUUGAGUUGGUUCAAAUGCAAUGCACGACGUUUGGAAUCAAUAGAUCCUUAUCUCCUAAAAUUUUCUUUCCAAAUCCCAGCCGAGCCGGACUGAACAGUAUGGUUCCUUUUACAAUAUUUCUUCAAAAUCAUAAGAUGGCUAUCUAACAAUGCUGUUGCAACCUUUGGCAAUUCUGGAUCCAUGGCUUGUUUUUUCAACAACAGUGCAAUUAUGAUUGUCUGCCAGCUGGGCGAUUAUUGGAAUGAACUUGAGGUAGUGAAGAACAUGACAAGAGAGAAAUACAAGUUGCCCUUUACCAAGGUAAAAUCCCACGUUUCUGUCUUCUCCGUAUCUUGAAGUCGACAAACACAUACAUCCUUUAUCUUGUAUAGAGUACCAACAAAGUCCGUACUGUGAAUUAUAUGCUAAUUGGGUUACCUUUGAUAUGGACGGUGGUGAGUAGGAUAAAUAUAGUGUGUUUGGAAAUCCUUUUAUAAUUAAUUCUAAAAUCAGAAUCAAUUAUGAAGAGAAGUUUAUGUGAGUAGCUUUUAUGUGUCAUAACUGAUUCUGAAGAAAUAAAAGUUUUUUUUGUAUGUUUAAACCACAUGUAAUUUCUACUGGGACAAUCAUGUUUGAGUCGGGUAGGACCUCUAUGGACGGCAAAGCUCUCCGUAUCAAAUAUUUAAUAAAUUGGAUUCAUAGGGACUCGAACUCGAGUCCUCUGUUUAAACUAUAACAACCUCGUUACGUCGCUGAUGCUUCAUUAUCUUGAGAUGAAGUAUGAUUAUAUUUAUAGACAUUCUAUAAAUGUGGAAACAGGAUAUUCAGUGAAGUAAUAGUAUACUCGUUCUCUAUAUUAUUGACUCAAUGUCCCUAUCAGUCAACCAUAGUGGCAUUGAAGUUGAAUUUCAGGGUAAGAUAAGAGAAAGAGAAAAAGAGCAUGCACUACCUUUUCAAAAGAGCACCUGCAACGGCUCCUAAUGUUUUGCUAUCACCCUUUCCACUCAUUUUCGCCAUUCUUGAGAGCCGCCAAUAAAGAUGGCAGCUAUCAAAAUCCCUAUCUGUGUGCAAGGGGCAAAGGCAUUCUUAAAUCUGUUGUAGUAGGUACAUAACCAAUGAGUUAAAAACGGAAUAGGAGCUAACUAAUUAUUGAUAUCUACACUACAUAAAUUGAUCCAUCAGUCAAAAAUUAAGUUAAACUCAAGUUUAGAUUGAUAAAUUGAGCUCAAAAUCGUAAAAAAUAACAUCAAGGUCGGCCAAUAUUCCAAAGCCAGUGAAUGACAUGCUGAUGUGAAUGGGACCAUGGAAGACUUUGAGCAUUCUGUAGUGAAAGACUUUGACAUUUGAGCACGUAUAAGGAAAUUUUAACGAGUGCUUGGUGGAGUUGACUAUGGAUAACUGACAUGCAUAAGAGCAAACAUCAAGCUAUGGCUCCUUGUGUACAAAUCACACUAAUUGCUAUAUUUGCAAUAUAAGCAAAAAAAGAGGGCACUAGAGGAAAUUUUGACUUACAGGUGGAAGUAAUUAUGUUUUUUUUCUUUUUCAAAGAUGAUGUUGAUGUUCGAAAAAAAUAAAAUAUCAUUGGACAUGAUAUUUCAAAAAGAAGUGCGAGAAAGACAUGCCUCCAUUACUAUAGAGAACUAGAGAUAAUGUGAUAUGUGAUAGUGAUAUAAGAAUUUGAAUCCCACUAAAAAGGCCAUGUUAUUAGGAACACUAUCAAAUACUUAAGAGGAAUAAUCAGUCACAGUCUCACAGAUAAUAGUUAUAGAAACGCUUAAUAGGAGAAAAAUGAGUAUGUAAUGUAAAGAAAAGAGCUUUAAUCUGUCUGCCUUUGCCCACAAUAACAGUUGAUUUGAUAUGAAUAUCCACGAUAACUAAUUGCCCAAGGUAUUUCAAGAAGUGUGUAUUUUAUUUUGGAGCUGUCUUUCAAUCAUAUACUGCUCUUCGUGUAGGUUAAGAUCACCAAGCUGAAAUCAUGAAGUAUUGUGUUCAUGUGCAAAAUCGAUUCAUUCUGAGGUUGCUUUCAGUAGUUCAUUCCAGGUGGCCAGUUUUUCCCUAGGCUUGUUCCUUGAACUUCCAAGCCUCCUUUCUUCAGAGUCAAUCUUUUCCCAAUCACCAAAUGAGACUACUCUGACAUUUCUAUCAUGCAGAAGCUGGAGAAGACCGUCCCUACCAGGUUUUGGCGAGGACAUUGAUGAAAUCAAAAGUCCUCUUUCAAUGUCUUCUGAUAUGCUCGAAACCUAUCAUUUCAAAAUUGUCAGCAGAUGAUAAUGCAAUGCUAGUAUAAAGUAUACAUGCAAACCUUGGCUACCCUGCCUUAGUCCCCACUGUUAUUUAGUGGUAGAGCCAAAAAAAUGAAUAUAACAUUAAUGUUGUAACAUUAUACAGGAUCAGUAUACACCAUAACCAUGAAAAACUACAGCUAAAUAACAUUUGUUGUGGAUUAUAGUUAUCAUAACAAAUGUAACUGCCAGCAACUGAUAUAGCUGGCUUAAUUUACAUGAUUGCCAUGUGCAGGAUCUGUACAAGAUAUAAGAUCCAAUAACAUAUACACCCUUUCUAGUCUCGCAUUCAUAAUGUAGCCUAACUCAAAAUACUAAAUGAAUAAACAUAAAUGCAUGAUCUGUUUAAUGAUAAACGCGUAACAAACUAACUACCAAAAAGCUCAAGAUCAAGCUCAUCAUUCAUUUUAGAAAUAAUAUGAAUAGAAAAGCAAGAGAACAUACAGUUUCUUCAGCACAAUACAGGUUUGUGGCAAUAAUCCCUGUUGGUCCUCUCUUCAACCAACCACAUACAUACAAGCCUUCUUCAAGUGCUGUAGGAUCUAAAGUGUCACUCAACACUCGACCUCUAUCAUUUGGAACUAUACCUGAAAGUUAGCCAUCAUACAUACAAAUAUGAGAUCCUGUCAGAUGACGCAUAUAGAUGCCCAGGCAUCAUGCUUAAACACCAAUCCAAUUUUUUCAUAAAUAAUAAUUCAUUAACAAAAAGGAUAGACUACAGAGCAGGAGAAUUAGGAAUCUUUUCCUAAAGCUACAGUGAAAAGAGGAAAGAAAGUAAAUGAAAUGAGUAACUGAGUCCAUCUGAAAUGAGCAUUGAUUCAAACAUAGGUUUUCCACAAGAAAACAUGUAACAUGAAUUUACAAAAAAUUGUAUUGAAAGAAAAUUGAUUGGGAAAUUCAUUACUCAUUCACCUUUCCUAUGAUCAAAAGGUAAGCCAUCAACUGGGACUGAUUUGUAACCAAUACUCUUAAGUGCCAUCCUACAAAAAAAGCCAGCAAGUUGCAAGGUAUCAGUAACUACUCUCAACAUUUUGUGUCCAGGAGGCUAGUCAGUCAUUUACAGAGCAAAAUGAUAAACUUUUUACUUUAUGGAGCAAAUGGAGUAUAGCCACUUAUGGAUCUUUGAUUAUAAUGAUGCCAGAAGAAACGAUUUCACGCAAAGUAAAUACAAAUUUUAUAACUAGGAAUCUUAGAGGAUAACAUGAUACCCGCAUUUUGUAUCUUCAAACUCUCCAGUACCAAUGGCAAUCUGUUUUCCAGGGCCAGCACCUGUAAAAUUAUGUUGACUAAUCAAAAGAAAUUCAUUGAACAAGAAUUAGACUACAUGGACAUAAAGGUGCUAGUAUUUAGCAAAGCUUCAAGAAAUGUUUAUAAUUAAUAUCGUAGGAAAGCCCACCAGUGCAUAUAUCUGCACUUGGGUUGCAUUUGCACAACAAUAAAUUAUGCCAAUUCUUAACUAUUAACAUAUCAUAUCACAUUAGUGCCUAUAUUGUAACAAAUUAAACAUGAAGAAACGAAAAUUACCUUUUAGAACUGUCUUCUCAAAGUGCACUCCAGAAACAUGGCCAGCUCUCUCUUCUGACUCUUGAAAACUAUCUGGCUUUCGGAAGAAGACAAAAUGGAGCUCACGUUGGUUCAAACCAGCUUGUUUGGGUCUCGAAGUAGCUGCCUUAGAUAGCAACUCAUAAACUCUUCUCUGUAUUCGGCUACUCUUAAGUUCUUCCUUUGCCAAGUGACAUAUCAGAGAUAAAAACAUGACAAUAUCAGUGAAAAGGAAUCCAGUUUUCUUUAAUUACUGAUAAAGAUUUAAAGGAUAAGAUACCUGAAUAGAAGAUACAAAACAGGAAAUUAUGACUAAAAAAAGCAAUUAGAAAAAACAUACUACUUGGGGUAUCUGUAUGUUUUUUGAGUGAAGAAGAUAGAAAGAUAGUGGAGAUAGGGGAGAAAAUAGAUUCAUCGUAUACCUCAUCGGACGGGGUCAAAUGUAAAUCAGAUUCCUGUAUGAAAAUAUUAAGGUUAUGAAUGCCUGCAUGUAAAUGUCCAAGCUUCAGUUAGUGUCAUGUGUGAGAUGGGUAUGAUGUAAAACUACAGUAUAUGACGAAUAAUAAAUUGUUUGGAAGUAAUUAGCACCAACACAGACAAGAUGGGAAACCAAUAUAAUAUUUAAGAUGAUGGGCCAAAAAUACAUGAUCAGGGUUCCAUUUUCAGUUCAAAUUGUCAUCUUAAGGUCUUCAAUGGUUUCAAAUCAAUGAUACAUGAGUAGAGUAAAUAGAAACAGGUGCAAAGUAAGUUGUAGGACUGAUAAAUAUAGGAAAAGAAGCUAACAUGAGACUGCGAUCAAUGAAAUCAAUGGAGAAUGAAAAAACAAAUUAACAAGUGAUCACUAGGCAUGCUAAUUGAGAAGUAUUGGUCUACAAAGGAAACUUCAAUUCCAAUAAAGAAUAGCAUUAUGGACGGUGUUCCCCCCUUUCCACACGGCUCCACAGAACAACACCAAAAUAAAUGUAUCAAACAAAUAUGUAUAAGAAAACUGAGUGGGUAACUUAAACUUAGUAUGAGUUGAUGCAAAAGUUACCAAGAACUUCACGUAAUUCUUUUGCAGUACAAGCCGCUUGGGAUGGACCACGUCUUCCAACCAAAUAAACUACCCUGCAAUAUUGCUUAUAUUACUAAAACCAACAUAUGGAAUAUCAAAAGCUCUAUUUCUAUGUGGCUGUUUCAAAAUUCAAACAAUGCAACUAAAUACCUGAUAGAGCUCUCCUCUAAGGUAGCCAAAGCAUGACCAGCAAUAUCUGUUGUUGCUAACUCAGUACUAGGUCGUAAAAGAAUACGUGCGACAUCUAGUGCAACAUUUCCCUGAUAUUAGAUAAAACCAUUUAUCCAAACCUCAAUCCAAGUGAAAAUUAAAUUUGUUUAUUCCGGAAAGUCUACUUCACAAGUGCUUUCUUAAAAUUCAUUAAAUGUGUCUUUUCUCAGAAAGAAGUAACAUAUAAUUCGCUCAACUAAGAUUUGUUAUAAAAUCUAGGGACCGAAGAACAUGGUAAAAAGUUACCUGACCAAGAACUACAGCUGUAUCAGAGCUCUUCAGGUCUGGAUUAAGAUUUCGUCCAUCUGGGUGCCCAUUAUACCACCAAACAAACUCUCUAGCUGAUAGUAUCCCUUUCAAGUUCUGAGAAGAAAAAAUAUAAAAGGCAUUAAAAUACAACUGUAAAAGUAACUCAAAAUAUCAGCAGAUGCAUUACUAUAGCAGAAUAAAUGAAUAUAAUAAAAAGUCAUCACUUAUCCUACAGGAAAUACAAGAAAUUCAAGUAAAUAUUCUUAUAAUUCAGGAAAAAAGCAAAUAAGGAAAUCAAGCAUACUUCGCCUGGAACACCAAGACUUCUAUCACUUUCAGCACCAUAUGCGAGGACAACCUGUUCAAAUGCAUAAACUGGUUAUUGAAAAGAUGGUACAACUGACCAAUAUGCACAUUUACGUGUUACCACUAAGAUAACAAAUCCAGAACCAGAGCCUCACCACAUGAUACAGCUCGCGCAAUUCAGAGAGAGAGAUGCUGGAUCCAAGGGUCACAUUUCCAAAAAACGAGCAUCGUUCCUGUUGCGCCACCCUUGAGAAUUGGUUGGCGACAAUCUGUAGCAAGUUUUCUGGUAAACUAAGCUCAUUGGAGUUACUCUCACCAAAGAAACAUAUCGAAAACCCCACCCCAGCUAAAAUUUUGAAAUACUUUUUCCAAGUAAACCCCCAGUUAGAUUGUAAAUUUGGCAGCAAAGUGCAAACACAUUAGUUCCUCCUAGAAAUGCAAAAAAAAAACUCAUCUUAGUCCCAGAGAGUCACACAUUAGUCCCUAAAGAUAAAUAUGGCCAGCAUUUGAGAUUCUUAUAAACAAAAAUGAGAUUUUUAUAGUAUCAUUUCAGUGGUUAAAUUGAGGGUUCAUUCUUUUCAAUUUUCUCUAUAACACCAAAAUAGCCACAACUAAUAACUUCUUGUUGAAAACAACUUCCACAAGUAUCAUCAUAUCAUAUAUAAGGCCUGUUAAUAGCGCGCUAUAGCGUAGCGCUCUGGGGUUCACUGCUACUCCACUAUUCACCGUUAUUUGCUGCUAUUGUCCGCUAUAGGGCUCGAGCCGCUACGCUACGCUAUCCGCCAUUAACAACCCUUACAUUAUGAAAUAUACCAAUGCUAAUGAAUCAAUCAUGAAGUUCACCAGUUACAGAGGAAUUCAUGCUGCAAAUAACAAUGGACCUUAGUAUCAGGGUGAUCGGGUGCGACACCGGAGCGGACCAAUCCAAAAGGCGUAGGCAACCUGUCAAUGAUAUCAACUCGUGCUUGUUGGUGCGCCUUCAACAUCUUCUCAGCAGUGUAGAAACCAGCAGGGCCGCUUCCAACAACACACACCCGCAAAGGGUUUCCAGAAAUGCUCGAGAAGCUUCUACAGAGCAACCUUCUUGCGUGCAAAAUCGUCAUCUCCGUUUUGUGCAGUGAACGAGAAACUCCCUAUUCUGCUCUCUACUGGCAGAGGCUGCUCCCUUUGGUGGCCGGAACCCAACCUCGCCGGAAAGCCACUAUCACCACCUGGUUUGGCUCUUGGGCUCUUUGGGCUUGUCUCCUUUACACUUGCUUUUGGUGGGCUUUUAUUCUUCUGUUUUAUCCCAUGGACAAACACAAACCUCUUUUUUGAUUAAAUAAAAAACAUAACAAAACAAACCACUUAUAAUCAAUUAUAUACAUUAUAAGUGCAUGUUUAGAAAUCAAGGGCAAGUCUCAAACGUGUAUUCAACUAAUCAUAAUUUCAAAAUUGUAUUAAUUCAUGUUCAACACCAACAUAAUUCUGUUUUGAAAUAUAAAGGCACCCUGGUUAUAAAUAAGUCUUUGGGGAACUUAUCUAUCUAUCUAUCUAUCUAUCUAUCUAUCUAUCUAUCUAUCUAUCUAUCUAUAAACUAUAUAAAGGGAGAGUUUUUGCAGCCUUGGGGGUAAAUCUGUCAAUCAACAAAUAAUUUCAAAGACUAUGAAGCUUGACCAUGGAUAUUUUGGUAAAGAUGCAUUUUAUUUCACUUGGAUUGAAUCUCAGCCGUCCACUUCAUAGCGCUCAUUGUCUUUCUGCAUUCCCAAAUGCAUUCACUAAACUUAAUUGUAAAAAUCAAUGCAUUCAUUCGUAUGGGAUCCUAAAAACCUUUGAAGAAACCUUCAAUAUUCUUCAGUUUUUUUAAACCUUUCAUCUUCUUUAUCUUUGCUUUUUAUUUGGUUUAUAGUAGAUUCGGUCAUAGGCGUUUCAAGCUUGAUCAAACUCUCAAAUGGUGAAUGACUUUUCAUUGUACUUUUUGCUUUUUCCUUCUAUUAUAUCAUUUCUUUGUCUUUUGCAAAUUUUUUAAAAAGUGAGUGUGUCUAUCAACGUUUGAGCUUCUAAUUUAGAAUAUUAUAAUUUGGUUUUUGUUAAUUUCAGGUUCAAACUGUGCGAGUGGAGAAGAUGAUAUAUUAGGCUGCUGCCAGACGUUCGACAGCUGGUUCGAGACAGUUCUUCACUUGGGGAGGACCAAGAGCGUAACGACUACUACGGAACCCUUCGGGUUUAGAGCUUACUAAGGUUGGGUGUUAGUGUCAUAGCUCUGACUAGUCGUGUCUAUAUUUGGGGCAGGGUAGGUCCCCGACGCAUUACUUUUUGUGUGGUUCCCUGCCAUGGGGAUCACAGAGAGUAGUCGGACAUUAGGAAAUCUAGAGGAGGCUGUUUUGAGUUGACUCUCUCAUGUUUUGGAGGACUAUACUUAUAAACUUCUCACUUGAUUUAUGGACUUGUACUCUUUUGCCUUCGGGCUCACUUUCUGUCGCUUGUCAAUACUUGUGACACUUUUAGUUACAGCAGAGCUAUAAUAGUAUUGUAUAUUAGUUUAUGUUUAUCGCAUUUUGGGUUGCGUCUUUAUUCUGAAAAUGUCUUUUAUUCUAAAAAGAAAACGAAAAAAAAAAAUGUCUGCUUUUCUGCUUUGUUUUAUUUUUGAGUUACUAAGUGACACCCGAAAAUCGGGGUGUUAAAAAAAAAGCAGUGUUUUAAGACUGGGCUCGGUCAUCGACUCGGCUGAGGUACUGAGUCAAUGAUCGAAUCAGUGAGUCAUUGGGUGGAUUGCUUGACUCGGUGUCUAUUAAAAUAUUUAAAAAAAUUGAUAUGAUAUUAUUAAGUGAAAUUUUAACAUGAAAAGAUGCAAUUCCUCUAACUCACCGAGGCCUUAUAGUUCACACGCUUAGUUUCUUUCACUACAAAUAAAUUUAAUCCCACUUGAUUUACAUAUUUAAUCAGAAAAAUGGAAUUGUGAAUGGUAUUUCAGUUCUCCAUGUAUAAUGGUUUUUGAAUUGUGGAUUUUGACAGUAAAAAAAUUCUCUAUUUAAACGUGUUGGGCUCAUGGCCCAUUUAGUCAAGAAACCCUAAUUCUUACUUUAGAUAUUAGUAUUACCACUCAACAGAAACCUAGCUGCACUACCUCUCUUAAAAGCAAUGACUUUUCUACUGUAGUCUGUAUGUGUCGAUGCCUUGCCUUAUGCAACAACAAGUUAUUGUUUUCCUCUCUUCUUCUUGUGAACCCAGACAAAGCUUAAUUUGGAACCCUAAAAUCAAUUUAACCAAAAUCCGCAAUGCAGAAUCCAGACAAAGCCUAAUUUGAAAAACCCCCAAAUCAAUUUAACCAAAAUCCCCAACUUUCAACCCAGACAAAGCCUAAUUUGGAAAAGCCCCAAAUCAAUUUUACCAAAAUCCCCAAUUUUCAACCCAAAAAAAACCCUAAUUUGGAAAACCCCCAAAUCAAUUUAAUCAAAAUCCCCAAUUUUUAACCCAAAAAAACCCUAAUUUGGAAACACAUCCCAAAUCGAUGUUCAUUCUCAAAAAAAUCACCCUUUUCCCAAAAUCAUUAGUUUAAUUAACAAAAAACUCUCAAUUUUUUACAAAAUCACAACACUAGAGAGAAUCGAAACACAUACACGUCAGAGGAAGCGGAAAAUGCGAUGCCAUGAGUGGACAACGACAAUCGCAGAUCUGGAGUCGCGAUGUGUACGAUGUGAGACCGGAGGUGUGGAUCUGAAGCGCGAAUCGGUAGAUAUGAAUAGAGGUGCGAACAAAUGCCUUUGAUGAUGGCCAUGGCUGAAGUGGCUGAAGAGGAGAUCACAAGAACACAUUUGGGUUUCGACGGACGCAUGGAAAGAAGACAAAAAAACACGAACCCUAGCUCGAAGAGAAGCGACGAGAACGAUGGUGGGUGUGGGUUUGGAACGACGGUGGCUGUGGUGUGUGGUUUGGAACGAGGUUUGGAACGAUGGGGAUCCUGCUCUGGAGGCAAAGAACCCUAGAUGAAAGUUCUAGAGGCUGAAUGAUUUCAGGUACUUGGGUAUUGAUGGGUUUACAGUAAAUUGAAAGGAAUUAAUGGAAUAUAGAUGGGUAGAUGGGAUAAGUUAGAGUAACUUUAAUGUUUAACUGAUGGUUAAAAUUUUAAAAUUUUUAACUUCUCAAAUUUACCUUAUUUAUUUACCACAUGGUUUAACCGUUAAAUCAUACUUAUCAUUCUCUAGUUUUUUACCUAAUCAUUCUAUUAUAUAUUAAGUAUUUUAAUUUUCGAAAAUACCAAAAAUACAAAAAAACUUAGAGAUUAAUUUCUAUGCACCGACGGUGUACAAAUUUUUACACCAUCAUUCAAUCACAACCUUCCAUUUUCUAUUUUAGAUAUUAUUAAAUUUAAAAUUAAUUGUGAGCUAAAAAAAUGGAGGGAUGUGAUUGAAUGAUGGUGUAAAACUUAUUUACACCGUCGGUGCAUAGAAAUUAAUCUCAAAAACUUAAAGUAGGAGGUCAAAAGGCCUUGGUGUAACUAUGCACAAGUUUUUCCUUGUGCAUAGUAAAUUUUUCCCAUAACAUGUAGCGGUACUCUUUACUUUAUAUUUCACAAAAUUUUGAGACAUGUUUCAUUCACACCUUCCCUUGCUUUUCCACCUUUAUUUUUUUUUUUAUCUAUUUCACUCUUCUCUAUCAAUCAAAUCAUAUAUCACAUAUUUACUUUCUCUUUUUUCUUCCUAUCUCUCUCCUCCUCUACCUCUUUCUACCUCAACUUUGAGGUGUGAACAAAAGAUUACUCCAAAAUUUUGCAUUACAAAUUCAUGCUCAACAAAGAAGUAUCUGUACAUUUGGGGAAAAUAAGAGCCCUUUUCAGCUUUGAAGACUUCUAUCCCACAACAUAUAAAAGCAUUUCAUCUGGUUCCUUUAGAAAACUAGAACAAAAAAAAACUAAAUGUGACUAGAAAACUUUCACCUUGGACCUGAGAGCUCCAUGGCCUGGACUAAAAAUGAAGAGUCAUCAGUAAGAUCAGAAUAUCUAUUUGAUGCAGAGAGCUCAUGUGGUUUGCACUUAGUUGUGUCAGCAUUUUGUGAUGCUUCCCAUUUAUCUACUAGCCCAUCACCUUCAAGCAUGCGUACAACUUCAGACAUUUUGGGUCUGUGCCCUGGAAGAUAUUGUGUGCACAAGAGUGCCACUUGAACCAUUUCCUCCAGCUCAAUCCUGUCAUAGUUGUUCUUCAGAUCCUUGUCAAUAAGCAACUCAAGUUGCUUCUCCUGAUGAAUUUUCUUUACCUAAAUGUCAAGUCAUCAACAAUAUAAGUGUUAAAAUAUGUCUUAUAUUGACCAGAGAUAUAGCAUCCGGAGUACUUAUAAAGAGUAGGACAAUCCUCACCCUAAGCAAACUUUUGAGUUGUGAUUGACCUAAUACAAAUUCUAAUAAGCUAUUAGAGUUAAUCCUAGAUCCAUUGUUCGGUCACCCGUGAUGGGCCACCCGCUGAAAUUGAAUAUAAAUAAUUGACCUGACCCAUCCAAUAUAUAUGUUGUAAUGGGGAUACGGGCAAUCAACCUGACCUGCCUGAGUGUAAGUUUUGUUAUCUCCAUGCUUAACAUGUCUAGUUCUGAGCGUAAAGGGUAUUAAAGGUCUCACAUUGACUAGAUAUAUACAUCACUCAUAAGCUAGCUUUUAGGGUAGAGUUAGGGCCGACGCAAUUUCAAAUAAUUUCAACUUCAUACGUUUAAGGUAAAGAAGAAGGAUUUAAAUGAAUGAUAAAGGGAGGAAAGGUUACCCAAUCAAGCAUGGCUCCUUUUUGGUAUGCUACCUUCCCAAAUUCUAGAGCUCUGUGGCCAGUGACCAAUUCAAGAAGCAAAAUGCCAAAUCCGAAGACAUCAGUCUUUUCAGAAGACUGUCCUGUGGAGAGAUAUUCUGGUGCAAUGUGCCCCACAGUGCCCCUUACAGCAGUUGUGACAUGUGAAUCUUUGUGAUCUAAAAGCUUUGCCAACCCAAAAUCUCCAACAACUGCCUCACAAUAAUCAUCAAGCAAUAUAUUUGCAGCUUUCACAUCUCUAUGGAUUAUCUUUGGAUCACACUGCUCAUGAAGGUAUAACAAUCCCCUUGCUGCUCCUAAGGCAAUUUGCUUCCUAGUCCUCCAGUCCAAGACAGGUUUACCUGGAGAUAUCCAAAAUAGCUAUAUGAAUCAGCCACUCAAUUUACCUAGAGCUCGUUCCGAUACGGACUGAAAAGCCUUAAUCGAAGUUUAUCUAUCUGUUAAAGCACUGGAUAAGUUUCAAAAAGUGUUCUUUGGUCCGUGUUCAAACAGCCUUAUAGUCUAAAUUUACAGCAAAAAACAAAGCAUUUCCCAUAAUUGGAUUCAACUACAAGAAUCAAACAAUGCUAUAAUGCUGUAUAAUGAAUCAUGGCUAAAUGUAUUACUAUCAACAUGUUUGAUUUCGAUUCUACCGGCUCAGAAUUGCGUAAUUUACACAGAAACUACUCACAGUAGCUUCAUAUCAUACGCAAUCCUCAACUGGUGCGGUAAUUGAGAAAGAUUUUCAAGCAUGCCCUAUGAAAUUCUUACAAUUUAGCUCACCCUUGAGACGAGAAUCAACACUGCCAUUGGACAUGUAAGGGUAAACCAGAAGCCUUUCUGUUGGUGUCACACAAAACCCAUACAGUUUCAGGAGAUUCCGGUGCACUGCCAAGCUGAUCAUUUCGACUUCGGUCUGAAAUUGUAUCUCUCCCCCAAUGGCACUGCCAUCUUUAAGCCUCUUGACAGCUACAAAAGUUCCAUCUGAGAGAACUCCUUUGUAGACAUUUCCAAAACCACCCUUUCCCAGGAUUUGUUUGUUGCUGAAGUUGUUAGUGGCAAUCUGGAGUUCUCUUAAUAUGAACCUCUUCAAGUUUCCUAGGUAGACUUCUUCAUGAUGCCGGUCUGUACAAAGAAUUUAGGACAGAAAAAGAAGAAACUAUUAAUAUUGGAUCAAAUAUGUUAAUCUAUGCUGUACAAUUAGAUUCUUAUAUAAUGAUUUUAAGUUGGAAUUGAACCUUUAACAUCAAAGAAUGCUUGUUGAUUAUUCUUGUGCCUCCUCCACAGAACAAGUACAAAACCAAGAACUAUCAAGCAGAGGAACCCCAGACUCGAACCAAAGGCGAUGGCCAUUUUGUGAGUUUUUGGUCUGCCAGAUUGUAUAGCAGCAUCUAGAGAAGCAAAGAGAUUUCUGUGAACAUCUAUAUAAUAACUGUGCAGAAUAUAAGAAGGUAAAACAAGUGCGAAUGUGAAGGGGGGCCCUGGCGCAACAGUAAAAAGUUGUUGUCAUGUGACUAAGGUCACGGUUUAAGUCCUGGAAACAGACUCUUGUGUAAAAUUAGGGUAAGAGUGAGUACAAUAGACUAAGUGGUCGGACUCUUCGCUGCACUCUGGGCAUAGCGGGAGCUAUCUUCCAGGUUGCUAUUUUUUUAAAACAUGUGGGAAUGUGAUGUAAUGAAAAGAUUUUCAGGCAAACCCCUUCAAAUUCAGAAAUUAAAGGAUCUUACCCUCAGUGCUGUUUAAAUUCAUGGACAUAGGCAUGGGUGUCAUCCCAGGGCAGUGUGCUUCUUUUCCUGUAGCACAGACAAGGGGAUUUCCAACAAUACUAAAACAACACAAGGGAAUGAAGAAUUUUGAGGUUAGUACUGACUUUUCUGAAUUUUUCAGAUAGUGAGACUUACAUACUUGUGUGUAUUAGAUAAUGAAACAUUUAUAUCUACUUUAGCUCAGUUACACUGUUAGUUCUGUUAGUUAUAGUUUUUCAUUUCUGUUUCACAAUUAGUUAUUUUCUGUUAUAACCAAUUCGUGAUAGUUAUAUUGUAUAUGAUAGAUCAGUUUACUUAACAUAGACUACACAUUAUGUAUAAGGAGAACCAGUGUAACAAUUUCAGUUCUGUUGAAUAACAAUUCAUUGUUCACUCCCAUUGAAC